rnacentral:lncRNA from 1 species
AGGAUCGAAAGUAUCUUUUUUUUUUUUUUUUUUUUAAACUGGAUAAGAAAAAGAAAUGGUAGACCAUGUACCCUGCCUUGGAUUAAAUAAUUUUUACAGUUUAUUGUUUCUAUGAUAUUAUCACUUAAUUACAUUCAAAUUGGAAACACUGAUUAUCAAAAAUACAAUAAAUUUGGAAAAAUCAUUUUAUAUUGUGUUUGUAUAAUUUUUUCUACUAGUUCUAGGUGAAUUUAAUAUAGUCUUUCUCUCUUUGAAAAUAAUAAAAAAUAAAAUAAUUCACAACUCUUUUUUUGUAGUUUACUGUAUGCAUGUUUGGUUAGAUAUUAGCUAUAGUAUUGAUUACAGAUGUAAAAUAACUACAUAUUGCUUUUUUUUUUUUAUGGUUGUGAGUCUUGUCUCUUCUGACAUGUUAGAUUACAAGCUAACCCAUUGAAAUUGUAGAAUUCAGAAUAUUUUGUUUUCAAUAAUCUAAACAGCUUAACAAAUUCUAUCAAAUCAUAUGUUGACGUAUUGGUAAGUUAGUAUUGGUAACGUAUAAAACAUGUAUUACAUAUAAAAACUGAUGAUGUUUGUGGAGGGUGACUUGGAGAGUUGAUGGUUAUGGCCUUUAAGUCGUAACUCGUAAGAGGUGAACUGGAAGAAGAAGAAGGUAUACAUACAUAGUUUGAUUUGAAGCAAAGAAAAGAGAGAGACCGUACGGAUACAUUUGUCCAAGAAAACAAAGACAGUCUUUGGACCGACGAGAUGGUACUACUCAGGUCCAUCACGGGACCCUACCCCUCUCCGCUAGCUAACGGCGUCGUCCUCUCUUUUCUUUUCUUUCCUUUCUUCUAAUCCCUCCACUUGGUCACUUCCUUCUCCCGUCAUCUGACGGCUGACGUCUUCUCCUCAGUCUCUCUUUUUCUUUUUCUCUUUUAAAUUACGUUAAAACCCAUAAUAUUUUGACAGAGGUAUAAAAUGGGAAAACCAUAAACCUUUCUUGUAGGCUAUUUAAUUUUUAGUUUCGACAAAUAUGGUUUCCGAUCAUUUUUUUUUGGGGAAAGGAGGGGACACAAAAUGAUGUCAUUUUAGGGUUGUUUUUAUCAAUUAUUUUUUAAAUGGAGUACUUCUUAAACUUCCUAGUUCCUUCCUCAAACAAAAUGAUUAGAAAAUUUUUGGUAGCACAAAAAAAAUGAAAAAGAAAUAGUUAAAAGUUUCAAUAAUGACCUGAUUAUCUUGUUUAAAUGUACCUGGAAAGUGCUUCAAUGAUGCUGGUCAUUAUACACAAUUAAGGUUUAUUUAACUAAUUAGCAUUAUUCGAGAAAAUUAGGAGUUCAAUUAUCAUACGCUUGUUUCUGCUAUUCCAUGAGCUGUUAUGGCCCGAUACAUAUAUUGACAUUGAUUCAGGUUAAAACCCAAUUUUAUCUAUGUAUAAAACCUACUUAUAUCAAACUUUCAAACCGAGAACCUAAGUGAAAUAUCAAUAUGUAGUUUAUGCAGGUCAUAUUUUGAAUUGAGUGAAUGAUCAAAUGACUUGUGGAUUACUUAGAUUUAGUGAUACUUACUUGUAAUAGACGAGGUAUAUUAUACGGUUGAUUAAUGUGCUGUAUAGUGUUGAAGUAUGCUUAAAAUUCGUUUAAAUACAAUAUUUAUUUUGUGAUUUACUUCUAUCAUGUACAUUUUAUUUCCUUUGUUUUUUUUUUCGAAAUUGUAGUUGUUCAGUCUUCGAGAUUGCCCACCUUACACAAUUAUUAACAUGGUACCUCGUGCACCGAGAGUUAGUUAAUAAUUCUGACAUCUCUAUGAUAUGUUCAAAAAUCAAAAUAUCUAGGAUCGAAAUUUUAACUAUCGCUAGAAUUAAUUUGUGCUUCGUAAUGAUGAAGUAAAAUAACACACAAACAUCGAAUCACAAUCUUAUAUAUAAAUAAAUAAGUUGGAUUGCAUACAUAUUCAAAGUGGAGUGGAGGUGAGGUGGGUGGUGAGCUAGCAAGUGAUUGUCACAUUUUGUCAUAUAGUGAAGACAAAUCUUAAUAAAUAAUACCAUCUUUAUCCCUGUAAGUUAAUUGACAUGUUGUAAUAAAAUCUAAUUAGCUAGGGAACCCUUAAACUAUGGAACCACGAACUCUUUCCAACACUUUCUCACGACCCUGUUGCCGGCCAAUUAUAUAGUAUGUACAUUGAAUCCAAUUUAUUACUAUUGGAUUAAUACAACAAUCAUGUUGGUUUUUGCAAGUGCAUCACAUUAUAAAAAUGACCUUAACUAGUCUAUUACAUUAAAAAAUGUUUGAAAACCGUACCUGUCGCGAAAGUACUCACGAUUUUUUCUUUUUCUUUUCUGCAUCUAUAAAAUAUUUGAGAACCAGUUCACUGCUAUGACCGAAUGUGUAGACAUGGGUCGUAAUGGUUUCAAAUAAAGAAUUAUAAACUUCAUAGAAUUUUUUUUAUAUAUCAGUACUGUUUUUUUUUUUUUUUUGUUGAAAAACUUAGACAAACUACACAUAUUCCAAUGAAAUAUUGCAUUGUUAAUUUACAUUUGGUGUCAUAAACCCGGAGCCUCAACCGGAAAGAUUCAGGUUCAAUAAUAAAACAAAUUAUUGUACUUCCCUGUGAAAUAUUAUUCCCAUAUCAAUAAGUCUUUGCAAAGGUAAAAAACUAAAUAAAAGAGAGCUAACUACUAAAGUUAAAAUGAGAUACAAAUGUCUUAGUUUGACUCCUUAUUUUAAGGGACUACACAGCCAAUCAAAUUUAAUUCAAUGGUUAGAAUAAACAAAAAAAUCAAAAAAAACUUUUUGGAGAUAAUCGUAGCGUUAUAGACAGAGAGCUAGGGGGUAAAAAGCUUCUUUUUUUUUUUUUACUUACCAGGAAAUCAGGAACCAUUGGUCUAUUACACACCACUGUUUUGGAACACGCAUGAGAUUGACUUUUUUUUUUUUUUACUGUCACUAUGUUUGGAUAGAUUAACACAUAUUAACAAGGCAAUUACAUUGUCGUGUAUCUCAAUUUUGUGUAACUUGUAACUUUUGUCGACAAAACACCUAAAACAAUGUUUUUGACCCUGACUUGAGAAAAGGCAAAGAAGAACAUAUAAAGCAAGUGGACGUUGACUGUUAUGUCUAUUCUCAUGUUUACUUCUUCUUUAAAAAAAAAAAAAAUCAAAUAAAAGAUGAUACAUUUCUAUUUAUUCAUCGCUCGUAUAAGCUUUCCAAAUGUAUAAACAAACAUGAUGCUUUUAUCAGUACACACACUAUAGAGAUAUAUGUACUACCUAUAUAUACCACUUGUAGGCAAAACACCAAUUUAUUUGUACAAUCUAAACUUUUAUACCCGUAAAUGCAAGUCAAAUAAUGUAGAUAGCAUUCGAAUAAGAAUUUUUGUUGCAAUCAAGAUGAUUUAAAAAUAUGGGUUAACUCGAUCUUUAUCAUUUGUUUUCUUAAAUAAACAGUCGUUUUAACAGCAAAGAAGUUGAAACAAAAAACAUGUUGAACCACUGAUUUCGUGGGGACAUGAGGAUUUACAUAAACAUUGACAUGUUUUGAUAUUACAAUAUAUGUGAGGUUUCUAAUUUCGCAACUUGGUGGGAAAGAAAGAAGAAGAAGAAAUGAAAAAAGCCCCUAUUUGCAGGAUGACACGUCGUUUUCUGGAAUUAGACAAAUCAAGUUCACGUUGUAACUUGCCUUAUUUGUCUCCUUCCUAUUGUAAUCUCUGCCACCUACCUGUUCCUCCUCCAAAACACAUUCGCGACAAAACUAUGUACUGUAUCAUCUUCCUCCUUCUCUUUUUGACUCACCCAAAACAAUUUUGUUAUUUCAGUAAAAAGAAUUAUAACAAACAUAAAGGAUAACCAUGUCAUGUGGCUGUGAUCUUAAGGCUACUGGUGGUGCUUCUUACAAGUUAGGACCCUCCAAUUGUGGCACUUCUUGAGACCACUUGUUCGAUUUUUGUCGGACUUAUGAUUAUGAUCAAAGGCCCAAGAAGAGUACGGGUAAAAUAAAAAUGUAAUAGAAAGAAAAAGAAGUUCGAACCAUGAUGAUCUUUCUCGCAGCUUAAAACUAUAUAGGCCCAGUGGGCUUUUUUGUGUGCUCUGAAGUUUGAAGCAUUUGGCUUCCUUGAUUUAUCAGAGGCUUUGAUGAUAUAAAUAUAAAGCAUUUGGAGGAUCUUGUGUUGCGUUUUCUGAUCAUAUUCGAAUCCAAAGUGUUUCUUCUUCUUUACGCAAUAUAAAUUAUAAACUGGAAAUUUGAAUCUAUUUCAUACUCAAUUUUGAUGAAAACCAAGAGAAGAAUCUCUAAACAGAAAUGUGUUUUGAUGAACCGGUUCUAAACCGAAGAGAGAAGAAAAUAAACAGAGAGGAGAGGAGUAUACAACUUCACAUAUAAAUAUGAUGAAUCAACAGUUUGAAUUUGAUAGCUUCAAAUUUCACUCGGCGUGGAAGUCUCCGAGGCUUCAUUUUCGGAUUUUGGUUUGGGUUCUGGAUCAAUGCUGGUUCGUCGGUUUCCAACGUUCUCGAUCAGCCUAACCAAAUCAGACAUCUUUGGCCUCUGGUCCGCUGAUUUCACAACACAUGACAUUGCAAUCUGCAACAUCUCAACCAUCUCUUCCUCUAUGUUUGCAUACCUAAGAAGCUCGAUGUCGAAAACCUCUGCAGUCCAUUCCUCUCUCACUACUGAAUGUACCCAUCUAACCAAGUGGAUAAUCUCAUCCCCUGCAGUUUCCAUUUCCCAAAAAAUGAUUUAGACUGAAUAUAUAUUAUAACCAUUUAAAUGGUUCAGUCUUCUCUGGUUGUAACUUUACCUGCAGUUGUGUGAAUGGGUGAUUUUCCAGUAAGUAGUUCCAGUAGCACGACGCCGAAGCUGUAGACAUCCGACAGUUGAGAAGACUUUCUUGUGUCAGUUACUUCUGGUGCUCGGUAACCAGCUUGUCUCGAUAUAGGUGGAGCCAAGGGGCUCAUUACAGCGGUUAAUCCGAGAUCAGAGACACAGCCACUAUGCUCUAAAUUCAAGAAUAUAUUUGAAGAUUUGAUGUUCCCAUGGACGAGUUUUCCAUUGUUUUCUUUGUGGAUACGGGCAAUCCCUUUAGCUGCGCCUAUCGCAAUUCUCAUUCUGGUUUCCCAGUCUAGAGGAAUCCGGUUUUCUCCUCUGUUACCUGCAAGAUCCAGUCGCAUAAAACAAAAAUGAGCCUAACCACAGCUUUAGCUAUGAUAACAUAAGAAGAGAAAGAGAUACAUACCAUGAAGCAAAGUAGCCACACUUCCUUGGCUGAAAUAGUCAUAAACCAUUAGCUUCUCAUCUUUGGAGUAAUAGUAAGCCUUAAGCUCCACAACGUUUUCGUGCUUAAUACUUCCAAUGAUCUCCAUCUGCUGCUCGAAAUCGCGUUUUCCAGCCGCAACAUCCUUAAGCCGUUUCACAGCAACAGAAGUUGCAUCUUCAAGCACAGCUUUGUACGUUGUACCAAACGUGCCUUUCCCAAGAACCUCAGCAGAAGCUCUCAACAGAUCCUCAAGAUCAAACGAGUAAUUGCAUCCUUCAAAGAAAGAUAACCGGUUGUUCACAUCUUCCAUCCGCGAAACGAACUUCUCAGGGGACAUCCCGCCUUUCUUCUGCAGCUUAGUAUCCGAAAUGAUCCCAUCACCGCGUCUUAAAUUCCUUCUUACGUAACAAACAGCCAACACAAAUGCCAAAGCUGCAACUACAACAAUGCAAAGAGCGAUGACAAUCAAUAGAAAAACCGUCUCGGAUAGUCCCAAGAAGUGAGCUUUCGGUUUCUGAAGAGUCUGCUCGCCAACUGGCGGCGUCUUGAAUAUGGAGACGUCACCUGGAGGAACAACGCCAAUGUUGGUGCCUGCAUAAGAUGACGACGGGAAUCUUCGAAGCCAACCCGGAAUAUCAUCUCCAUUGAGAAAAUGAUUGUUGGACAAGUCAAUGUGUUGCAGAGUAGAGAGCAGACUCAGAUCCGGAAGAGCACCAUAAAGCGAAUUGUUAGCAAGAUUCAACGACUGAAUACGCCUGAGACGGGACAACGAACCCGGGAUCGUCCCGUUAAACCGGUUGUUGGAGAGAUUAACACUAGUGAGAUUGUUCCAAACAGAGAAAUCCAAAGGCAAAGGACCAGACAAGUGAUUGUCCUGAAGAUAAAGAAAGGCCAAGUCUUUCAACUCGACGAAAUCAGCGGGAAACUGGCCGGAGAUACGAUUGGAUCUGAGACUGAGAACUCUGAGAGCAGAGAGCCUGCUUAUAGUGUUGGAAGGAAUCUGACCAUUGAGUCCAACGCCUGGCAAUCGAACAGCUAUGAUUCGAGAUCCGUCUUUGUUGCAAGUAACUCCGGUCCAGAUGUUGCAGACAGGUGAAGUCGCGUUCCAGUUCAGUGACCGUGUCGGACGCAUGAUGGUAAGAAACUCGAGCAAUGCGCGUUUGUCUUCUGAUGGAUCUGCGUUUGCUCCAUAGAUAAUCAAACACAGAGAGAUACUCCAUAGAUAAAUCCUCCAAGCUUCCAUUUUUGAUAGUAUAAACAAAAAAAAAAAAAAACGAGCUGUUUCUUUUAAUCUGGAGCUGGAGAAGAAAGAAGAAGAAACAAUCAAAAACCAAUUAACUCAAUUUGAUUGAUAAUGAUGGAGAUGGUGAUGAUGAGAAAUAUAAAUAGUGGAAAAAUUUGUAAACUUUAAUUUAAAAAUGAAAGGUACGAAAAAAGCGAUUAGGAAGACUGCGGAUUUACAAAAAGUAAAAGGGGAAUCUUGAAGUUGUUCUAUGCGACCACUACUGAGAUGAUUUUUAAAAAUCCAGAAAUUUAAAACAGGUGUGGGAGACAGAGAAAGAGAGAGACUUUAAGCUUCGAAAAUGACGAAAAAAUGAAAGUCCUUUUUUUUUUUUUUGGGUAUGUACAUUUCGAAGCUUUAAUUUAAAACUUAAACAAAAACCCUAAAAUUUUCUGGGAAUUGUAAGUGACAAAAAGUGGAAGCUUAACUCUAUUUAACAGUCUAAAAAUAAUUAAAAAUCGGAAGCUAUCAGAUUAAAGAAUUGGUAACCUCGCUUUUUAUUUUCCAGAUCUGAACUUUAUUGUCGACCCUCGCGCUCAGUGUUUCUUCUUCUCGAGAAUCGAAUCAGCUCUGUACAGAGAGCUAAGAAAUUUUAGAGGAAGAAGAGAGACGAGCUCUAUAGUAAAUUUACGUAGUGAUGAUGAUGAUAACGUGAAGAACGGAGCUAAGAACCGCCAUUGAAACCAACACUAGUGUGAAGUUAAAGAGCUUGUGAUUUAUUUAUUUUAUUAUUUUUUCUUAAUUACAAGCAACGGAUAUAAAAUUUAUUUUGUUCUUUUUUCUUGGCAUUAAAGUGGUGAAAGUGACGAGGGAAGAGGAAGAAGAUCCAUUACUGUACUGAUGCGACUUUUUUUGUUUUUCUUUAUUCGGUUUACUGCUUUGGUCAUCGGUGACUCUGUGAUUGCCGGUUAUUUAAUACCAAACCGGGGACCAUUUGCUUUUAUAUGUACACGGAACUUUACUGUCUUAAAUCACGGUUUUGAGCUUUCAAUUGGUUAGUUUGAUGAACCGGUAUAGACCUAACCGGAUGAUAAGACAUAAGCCUAAUUUGGUCAACGCUUACAAAAUUAUUAUUACUUACCAAAUUUUUUAGGCAAAUUUACGUUUUUAUUUGUUUGUAACUUACUACUUGUCAUAAUGAAGCUACAAAAGCCAUCAUCAAUGCAUAUCGACACUUCUACCAUUUUUAAUUUAAUUCUUUUUCUGUUCUUCAUCUCUUUGGGCACUAAAUAAGAAUAUACAAUAUGAGUAUAUUCGUUUUAAAAUAUUACGAUUUCUUCGGUGUAUUAAAUAUUGGACCGACCCAAUUAUAGAAUUUAUGGUGCUACUCGCAUGGCCAUCAUAAUCGACCAAUAAUUUCAAUUCUUUCAUGAUUAUUGUGAUGAUUUUAUACCAAUCUUACCACGGUUGAUUCCUUUCUCCAAUAUUGAGUGGCAAAUGAGUAUAAGGCCACUAAAUAAAAGGCUUUUUGAAUCCAGUAUUUUGAUUUAUUUAUUUAGUUUUAUUUCUUACUUGAAAUACCCAUUUAGUUUAGCUUAUUGCUUUAGAAAUGAUUUAUUCCAAAACUGUUAACCAUGAGGACAAGAAAGCUUUAUUUAUUAGUAAUGGGAGAUUUCACAAAAUAAAAAAAUAAAGAUGAAAUACAAAUUUCAUAUAGUAGUAUAACAAUAUCUUGAUACACAAGUUAAAUCACGCACAAAACCAGGAUCUUAGUCACUUCCUAAAAAAUGGGUGACCUUUUUUCAAAUCUCAGGUUUCCUUUUUAAUAUUUCGGAUUCUGAUACUGAAGAAUCACCAUACACUGUGAUGAUGUGUUCUUCUAAUAGACUGACUAUACAGCAAAGAAAUUAAAAAAAAAUAGCUCAAAAGGUAAAUGAAAGUCACACUCGGAACAGAGACUCAAGAGUCAAGCCGGUACCGUUUUUUAGGUGGAUAGGACAAGCGAGAGGUGUAAUUUCCCAGUCCAUUCUUCACCUGGUUUCAAGGUAAUGGGUUUCUCAAUGGCUGCUCCGUCAACACACAACAUGUGUUUGUACUCAUCAUCUCCCAAAUCUGUCAGUGCUCUAGCCUUCUUCUCCCAUGGAUUCCAUACCACUGCCAUUAACCGAGAAUCUGAUUCUGUUAAAAACCGAUUUUUAAAAAAGGCGGUAAAUGUUUUUCGAUUAUUUAGUUCUUACCGACAUCAGGCAGACCUUCUUUCCUGAUGAGGAAUGUGCGUUUUCUUUCAUGGUCGAAAACCGCAACCACGUCUUUAGAGUUUAGGUACACUCUAUCGAUCUCAGAUUCAAAGGUUAAUGCAUCGCCUUGCUCUGUAAACCGCUCUUUCUCCUGCAAGUUAUCAAGAUAGUCCAGAGUUUCCAGCCCUUCAAGUCUAACUUCACUGUUAUAUACCAAAAAAAAAGAAAGAAAGCAUUAGAAUUCUAUAGUUUUCUAAUGUUGAUCAGUAGAGAUUAGAGAGGCUAAACUCAGUGUUUCACCUUAUAUCGGAAAUGGAGAAGUAAGUGUGGUAGGCAAUGGAAAAGCUAAAAGGCUUUGAAUUGAUGUUUCUGACUCGUGAUAUCAGUGUUAGGUCCCCAUCUAGUGCCAGUGAGACUCUUAGGUGAAACUCAAAGCUGAAACAAGAGCAAUACCAGUUAAUACGAAGAAAAAAUCAGAUCAUAUCCAGGAAUCAAAUAGAAUCUUUUGAUCAGGUUUGCAACCUGUAAGGCCAGAUCCUCAUUGUGUCUUCAUCAGAUGACUUAAGUACCAAAUCAACAUAGGCUUUGCCGGUUGCGUCAAAUGAAGGUAAAGCAGGCGGGUCGUUUUCCACAAGCCACAUCUUGUUUCUUGCAAAUCCGUGUUGCUCGAGUGAUCCCCGAGUUCCAAACUUUAUAAGAAGAAUAAACAUAUUUUUAAGAAACAAGAUCAAAACCAAAGUUAUUUAUGUCCAACAUUACAUGCUAUAGUUUAAGAGUCUAUGUACCUGAGGAAAGCAUAUAGGGAUUCCUCCUCGUACCGGAUGGGGAGGCUUCGAGUUGGCCUGAAACAAGAGUAUGAAGUUCACCAAAUCUGAUAAGAAAUAUCAAAAAUGGUGAAAAAGCAGAGUUCUUUACCUUGGUGCUGGUGAAUAGCAAUUCGUCACCCUUUUCAGUCUUCCAAGAAAGAACUUGUCCUCCAUGUAAACUAAUCUGAACAAAGCAUCAUCCGAGAAAAACCGUCAGUUCAAUAAGGCGAAAUGGAAAUGCUCAUCACAACAACAACAGUUUCCAUGAGCAAAAACAAAAGAAAGAUAGAUAUAUAGCUAAGAAGUUCCUCUUAAGAGAGUAUGAAGCUACAACAGCCAUAAACUAGGCCUUCAACUUAAAGAAUCAGAACCCAAAUCACCAAUAGAAAACAGAGCAUUCAAACACCCUUAUACGUUUAUAUAUAGCCCUCUGAUUCUGAGAAGCCAGUUACACCUAUUUCCCUAAAAAUCAAACCUUUGGACCAGUUCAAAUGUAUAAAAGUACGAAGAUACAAUCCAAUCCAACAGUAUAGAGAAUCUAGCAUUAUCAAAUCCUUGAACCAAUAAGAAUCACAUAUCUUGAAUCAGAAAGAUGAACUCUAAGUCCUAAAGAAGAGUUUGGAAGAGGAAUAACAACAAACAGUUAGUAGGCAAAUCUAAUCUUAAAAAAGUCAACAUCUUAUCCUCUAUAAACGAGAAUCUAAAGAAUCAAAAAUUCUGAAUCUUUUGGCAUCGAAGAAUCAUUCUAUCUUUUGGAAACAAGAAAUUAAAAUACAAAAAGCUAUAAAACCUUAACAGAAGCGCCUUUAGGAUUCUGAAGAAGGAUCUGAUCGGUUCCAUUUUUAUCCUUGACCAAGUCAACCAUUGGUCUCUUCUCAGCACCGACUCCAGAUGAUGGUUCCAUUGUAAACCAAAACACACGGAUUCGAUGAUUACAACACAGACUCUGUGGGGGGUUUUUAAAUCCACCCAACAAAAUUAAAAAUUAGGCGAAGGAAUCACAAGAAGGAGGAAACAGCUUUCUUGUGGGAAGAUGAACAAGAAACCCAAACUUAUCCCGUGGAAAUGAAACCGAAACCUCAACCACCACUCUCAACUGCUUAUAAGUCCUUUUCCUCUUACAAAACCAAUAAAAGCUGCAACACACAAAACUCUUUUUCUCUUAUGUUGUUGUUGUUGUUGUUGUUGCAAUAGAUGAUAAAAGACAGAUCGUGAGGUUGAGAUUGAAAACGCAAAGAUCUGUACUGGAGAUUUUAGAAUCACUUAAAAUGGUCCAACCAUAUAUCAAAACACAAAGCUUUCCCCAGGGAAGUUUGACGAUUAAGGUGGGAUUACAAGGAAAUUACGUAUAGAAAUCAAGAAACCCAGAAAGGCAAAACACACAACUUUUUUUUUUUUUGACACGGAAGAGGGAAACAAAGCAGAGAUAUUUCAAAGACACAAGUCAGAAGAAAUUGGGAGAUAUGUAAGGAAAAGUUUCAAAAGGUUAAAUAAAAAGAUUGCAAAUGGGUACUUUUAUAAAUGUUUAUUUUUUGGUUAUAAAUUCUGAGUCAUCUAUCAAGUUUAGAAGACUGAUUAGUGUUUUUACUGUUUAGUUAGGUAAUGUAAAGACCAAACUAUAUACUAGUUGACAUGAACAAGAAAAAGACCAAACUAUGUAGUUGACAGGAAACAAGAAAAAAAACCAACCCUAUCAGCGUUCAUGAAAUGUCACAUCUAAAACUUGCGUUUCAAACAAUUUAAACCUUAGUUUUUCUUCUUAAUUUCUAUUAAUAUUCACUUCACUAGUGUUGUUACUUGUUACUUUAGAUUGUUGAGGUUAAGUUUGUUUUUUUUUUUCUUGAAUCUGAUUGGAUGAGUUAAUAUAUGAUAAAAAGAAAUGAAUCUAGCUAGUUGCAAAAAGAAAAUGAUGAAAAAAACAAAUAAGAUGAUGGCAGGAAGACAGCUGGUGGUGAUGGGGUUUGGAUCUUGACAUGCGACCAUGAUUAACGGAAUUAACUACCUGUUCAGUUUUGGAGGGGGGAUUAAUUAAAAAGUUAUUUAUAUUCGUUAAUUACUGAUUAAAUCAAUUUUAUAAGUUUUAAUUUUUAACUUUAGUCGUAGUUUUGUGUCCACAGUUUCUUAAAGCUUUUUCGAGCCAUUUCAGCAUAUAAAUAAACACGCGUACUAGUAGUACACAUCACACGAAAAUGUGUGUUCAACGUAGCGAAUAAUAAUAAUCAAACGAAGACGUCUGCACAAACCAAAUAAUCUAAAAGAGACAGCGUCAGCCACCAUAUAUUCUAAAGUUAUUUGGACUUUGAUAAAACGAAGGUUCGUUUAUAAUAAACAAACACGAUUUAUAAGAAGCUUCGUAUUAUUAAUUGGUUUCCAAAAGAUUAUGUAUAAAGUUUACGAGUGUUUUAAUAAACUUUUGGUGGAAUUAUGUGAAGAUCACAAGAUAACUAUUAACAAGAUUCAUUUGGUCUUUACUCUUUUUUUUUUUUUGGUGGGAAUUGGUCUUUACUCUUGUAAGAGAAGCUUAUCACCUCUAACUGGUUUUGUGUGGAACUAUGUAUCUAAUAAAAAACACUUAUGUUAUGUAUUAAUUUGCUAAUUAUCAACUGUUUUACUCUACAACAUUCGAUUGAAACGUGGGAAAUUAAGGUAUUAAUCAUUGUUCUUGUCUUUUAUGCCGACCUAUGAUAUCUUUUAAUGCGUCAAUUACGUCCCUAUGCGACGCCGUUGGUCGUCCCACAUUCGUGUUGUUUUGUGUAAUCAUUAGUUUCUUUGAUUAUCCUUUUUUAAAAAUGAUUCAUGCAAUAAUCCGAUAGGCGAUAAAAUAUGAAUUAGUGUUUCUCACGUUGCAAUCCUUAUGAUUUAUGCUAGAUAAAUUUGCAUUAUAGAAUUGGAAAACGAUUGAAUAAGAUGGUUUUGAUGAUAAUUCUUUUGUAAUUAUGCGUUUUGGACUCCACUAUAAUUCUUUUGCAAUUGUUAUAUACAAAAGAGCAAAAGAUAUACAGAGACAUCAGACACAUCAUCAGACAUGUACGUAUAACAAUUUUUUGAAAAUGACUACCUUGAUUGGAUUAGAUUGUAUAUCCAAUUGUAUAUGGAAGAAAACAUUAAACUCCCAAAAUAUGUAUGCCUUUUUUUUCAAGGAGAUGUAAAAGAAGAAGAUAUAUAAAAGGAAAAAGUACUGCAGGGAAAACAAUCUAUACUUAACCAACUCAGUACAAACAUUUGCAACUGUGUAUGCAACUGUGUGUAGCAUUUCAAUUUAUUUUUGUUAGUAUUGGCGUUCGAUCGUGGUUAUGAGCAAGUUAUGUUUACGUUUUGCGAGUGUAUUCUGUUUGUGUUAUGUGUUUAUGUUCGUAUCAGUGUUAGGCUGUUAGCAUUUUUAGAUGUUUGUAUAAGCGUGAGCACAACAGUUACAUUUGUGAGUAUGUUUACGUUUAGACUAAACGGUUUAGUGUAUGUGGCUCGUGUAAUGCGUUUAUAUGUUUGUAUCGGUGUUAAUACUAAAGACGUGGAACCUAAUACUAAAAAAAUAUGCAUGCAGACACUUGGGAAUCGAAUACAAACCUGAUACCUGAUACCAACUUAAUUGGAAAGAGGUGAGUUUAAAGGAAGGCGUGCACCACAGAAGCUCCAAGCCUCCAACCAUGGUUCUGCUUAAAAAAGGAAAUCAAAGAGUUAUGCUUUGUAAGGUUCGAAACUGUACCAGAUGUUUAUAGGCUAUACCUUUGGUUUCAAAGAAGAGAAUUGAGGUUUUAGACAUACACAAUAUCAAAAUUUUGAUUCUGCAAUGGUAAGUGCAAAUUUUGUUAGGCCAAACACAUAUGUGAAGAAAUCUCCAGUGGACUGCAAGUGGUAAGUACCCCUAACUCAAACCUUCAAGCACCUCAUGCUAAUACUACAAAAACUAAACACAGUCACAAUUAAUACUAUUGAAAUCAAAAGCAAGACGUACCUGAGAAACCAAAGCUUUACUUUAUGGAGACAAAAAUUGCUGAAAGGGAUAUGCAGAGAAGAAAUCUCUUAUAGGAAAGCAGAACCUGAGAAAGAUCAUGUACAUACCCUAGUUCUUGGUCUUCUGAAGCUAAAAAGAAUAAAAGAUAGAUAAAAUACUACUUGAUCAAAAGAUGUGAUCAAUCAAGGAACUAUAUACUAGGGAAAAUAUUAUGCAGAACAUACCUUAUUUUAAAAGAGGGAACAUACACUUACCUAAUCAAGAGGGAAAGAUACUGUCUGCACACUGGAUCAUCUGCAAUACAUCUGUUUCCAUGUAAAGUAUGAAUCAUCAAAAGAUGUGGUUAGAACAUAGUAAGGAAGGUAAGCAGGUAAACGUAAAAAGGAACUUACAAAAUAUAGAGGUUUGUGCAGAAAUUUUAAUUUCCAUAAUCCUACAUUAAGCUGGUUUGAACUAACAUAAGACUAAUAAUUUACAAUUUAGUUAGAGAAGAAAUACAUACGUCCACGACCAAACGCAGGUUCUUGUAGUAUAUAUGCAGAAUUUUGAAUUUCCCAGUCUUGAGAUGUUUCUAGAUAAACCUUAUUAUAAAGAAGCAUUUAUCCAUCUACUAAUGUCAUAAGCUCCACAAGAUAUAGAGUCUGCAGAAACUUGAAUUAACCUUUAUGCAGAAGACUGGAAUUAUAUAUAUUGGGAUAAGAAUCGACAUGCCUUUUCAAAGAUGGGUCUAAGCAGAAAAUUGAAAUUAUAUCAUAUUAACUCAGCUCCAUAACUAUUAAGGUCAUAUGCAGAAACCUGAAUAUGCAGAGUAUUGAAUUUUUCUCAACCUUAGAACACCUUUGACGAGCCAGUCUUAGAACACAAGCCUUAUUAAAGAACUUUUACUCUCCAUCAUUUUGCAGAAUCUUGGAUAUCUUUUCUCAGCGACAUGUAUAAUUUAAGCAGAUGACUGAAGUUUUCCUUAUUGCAAAACACUGAAUGUUGUGUCAUGCUGUUCCAGCCCCAACAACACUAUCUUUAAAUGGAAAAUCGAAAUUCCAAUCUCUGAAGCACAAGUCCUAUUAAGGCUGGAACAUUUAUCCAUAUCAUAUCUCAACCAGAUGUAUAGUUUAAGCAGGCCUCAAGACAUCAUUGCCUUAAUAAAGGCUGAUAUAUGCAUUAUAAGCAGGCCAUUGAAACUUUUCCAUUAUAAGCAGACCAAUGAAACUUUUCCAUUAUAAGCAGACCAUUGAAAUUUCUCCCUAGCCAACAAGAAGCAGACAAUUGUUUUCCCAGUCUUAACAGCUUUACAAAAGCUUUAUUAGUGACAUUUUAUUAUUCAUCAGUGUGCAUAUUAAGUUUGAGUUUAAGCAGACACUGUGGGUUUUGAUCUCUAGAAGAGACAAGCCUUCUUUAAAAGGAAAAAAAAAUUCCCAUAGAAGCAGAACAAUGAAUGUUAACAUGUUGUCCCAGCCCCAGCAAACCAUCUUUAAACGAACAGUUUAGAUCCCAAUCUUAGAACACCAUUAAACUUAACUCCUAUUAAGGAACAUCUAUUCUCCAUCAAUUUGCAGAAUAUUGAAAUCAUAUCUCAGGGAGAUUUAUAGUUUAAGGAGAUAACUGAAUUUCUCAGGAAAACAUUGUACAAGCCUAAGGCUGAUCUUAGCAGAGACUGAGGUUCUCUCUUUAGAAGAGUAUAGAAUUCUCUCUUUAGCAGGAUAUUGAAUGUUAACUUGCUGCUCCAGCUCCAGCAAAAAAUAUAUUUAUCAACUGAGCUUUUCCUUCUUCAAAAGCAAUCAAACAAGCCUUAUUAAAGGACUUUUACUCUCCAUCAAUUUGCAGAAUAUUGGAAGUGUUUUGGUUUAAGCAGAGAAUUGAAUUUUCUAACAAGCCUUAUUCAAAGGACUCUUUUUAUUCCCUAACAAUUUGAAUUCUCAGGACAUCAUAGUCCAAAUUUUAAUGAAGCCUUAUCUUAGCAGAGAUUCAAGUUCUCUUCAUAGUAGAGUAUUUAUGUUAACACGCUGUCCCAGUUACAGCAAAAGAUCUUUUAAUUUGACAAUUUCCCCAUCAAACAAAUCUUAAUAAAGGACAUUGAAUUUCUCAGGACAUCUUUGUCCAAACCAUAGUGAAGGUUUAUCUUAAAACAUAUUGAAGUUCUCUCUAUAUCAGAACAUCAAAUGUCUUGUCGCCCCAGCUCCAUCAAUAUAUCUUAUACUCGGACUUUCCCCCAUUGAACAAGCCUUAUUAAAGGACUUUUAUUUUCCAUCAAAUUCCAGAAUAUUAAACCUUAUAGUUUGAGCAGACAAUUGAUUUUUCUCAUGACAUUAUAGUCAAAGCCUUAAUAAAGGCAUCAAAGAUUGUUUUUUCCCAGAACACAUAGUUCAAGCUUUAACAGAGGCAGCAGGGAGAUUGAACUUUCUCAGGAUACAUAGUCCAAGCCUUAUUAUAGGCAGCACAGAUUGAACUUUCUCUGGACACAUAGUCCAAGUGCAACUGUAGUUUCUAUCAAGCUGUCCCCAGCACAGCAAGACAAUAAAAAUUCAUUAUCUCCAAAUUAUUCGGACAAGACAAGCCUUUUCUCUUACGGACGUAAUAUCGAAAAAAUUUCCCAGGACAUCACUGGCCAAGCCUUAACAAAGGGUAGCAUAGGCUGAACUUUCUUAAGACUUCACAGUCCAAGCCUUAACAAAGGCAGCAGAGAUUGAACUUCCUCAGGACACAUAGUCCAAGCCUUAAUAAAGGCAGCAAAGAUAAAACUUUCUCAUGACACAUAGUCCAAGCCUUAACAAAGGCAACUAAAGUUUGUAACAAACUAUCCUUUCUUCAAAAAGCCUUAUUUAAAGGACCUUUGCUCUCUAACAAUUUGCAGAACAUUGAAUAUCUCAGUGAGAUGUAAAGGCAACAAAGAUUGAACUCUUUCAGGACACAUAGUCUAAGCCUUAACAAAGGCAACUGAAGUUUGUGACAAGUUGUCCAGCACAACAAGAUAGUAGAGAUUGAUUAAUAUCCCCAAUAUUAUUCGGACAUGACAAGCCUUUUUCUUCUGACGAACUUAAUAUCAGACAAUUUUCCCAUGACACAUCACUGUCCAAGCCUAAAUAAGGCAGCAGAGAUUGAAUUUUCUCAGGACAUCAUAGUCCAAGACUUAAGAAAGGCAGCAGAGACUGAAGUUUUCCAGGACACAUCACUGUCCAAGCCUUAAUAAAGGCAGCAGAGAAUGAAUUUUCCGAGGACACAUCACUGUCCAAGCCUUAACAAUUCUCAGGACACAGAGUCCAAGUGCAAGUGAAGUUUGUGUCAAGCUGUCCCAGCACAACAAGACAAUAGAGAUUCAUUAUCUUAUUAUUCGGACAUGACAAGCCUUUCCUCUUACGGACGUAAUAACGGACACUUUUCCCAGGACACCCACUGGCCAAGCCUUAACAAAGGGUAGCAUAGGCUGAACUUUCUUAGGACAUCAUAGUCCAUGCCUUAACAACAGCAGCAGAGAUUGAAAUUUCUCAGGACACAUAGUCCAAGCCUUAAUAAAGGCAGCAGAGAUUGAACUUUCUCAAGACACAUAGUCUAAGCGCAACCGAAGUUUAUGUCAAGCUGUCCCAGCACAGCAAGACAAUAAAGAUUGGUUAUCCCCAAUAUUAUUCGGACAUGACAAGCCUUUUCUCUUAAUAUCGGACAAUUUUCCCAGGACACAUCAUAGUCCAAGCCUUAACAAAGACAGCAGAAACCGAAUUUUUUCAGGACACAUAGUCCAAGCCUUAAUAAAGGCAGCAGAGAGAUUGAAAUUUCUCAGGACACAUAGUCCAAGCGCAACUGAAGUUUGUCAAGCUGUCCCAGCACAGCAAGACGUAUAGAUUGAUUAUCCCCAAUAUUAUUCGGACAUGACAAGCCUUUCCUUUUUUACGGACGUAAUAUCGGACAAUUUCCCCAACUUAGAAAUCGGACAUACACAACAAUCAUGUAAUGUGUUACUCCUUUUCCUUUGGGGUUUAAAACAAAACUAAAACCAAAGACAACAUAAAUACGAAGUCUUUGGAAAAAAAACCCCGACGAGGACUGAAUCCAAAGAGGGUUUUUUUUUUUUUUAAACUCUAAUUCGCCUCAAGACAGAGAAGAAAAAGAGGAGUUUUGAUAUGUCGAAACAAAACAAUUAGAAACCCUAAUAUGAAGAAGAAACAGAAGAAGAGGGAUUUGGAUUUGCCUGAACAAAAACCAAAACUUGCAGAGAGGAAAGAAACGAGAGCCAGGAAGAGAAUUGAAAUUGUGAGAAACUGAAAAUUACCAAACAUCGAAUCCUCUGUUUAUAUAGAACUCUUAGUUUAGUAAUUGUGAUGGGCUUUAAAAGCUUAGGCCCAUGUCAUUGUUUAAAGUUUUCCUUUUUCCUAUAACAAUUUCCUUUUUUCUAUAAGUAUUUCCAUUUCUUUUUUGACAGCUUUUACUAUUUUCAUUUUAUUAUCAUCUUUUAUUAAUUAAUUUAUUAUUAUAUUGGGGAAAAUACAUUUAUUUCCUUUUUGUUUUUUCCUUUUCUUUAUGAAUUUCCUUUUCUAAUGUAAAAAACCAAAAACAAAAGCUAAAUUAAUUACGCGAAAAAAGGAAAACUAUAUUUAUUUUAUUUAAAACAAAAAGAACCGGGAACGACCUUCUUUCUCUCGUCCGGCAACUUUCCCGGCGACUUUUCUGAGAUUUCCCAUGAUCAUCAAUGAAAUCCGCGACACCGUAAUCAAGAGAUUAGUCGAUAAAGGUCCGGUUUUUUUUUUAAUUUCUUCUUCACUCGGAUCUAAUUGAGUUCAAAACCUAAGCUUUUUGAGCUGAAAUUUCUAUGAAAAUAUAAAUAUUGGGUGUUGGGUCAGUGGAGGAGUAGCUCACUCUACUUGAUAGUUUCGAAUUGAAUCCAAAUUGAGUUUGUGUAUUCUCUCGAUGGAAACAUUAUAACUUCUGCCAUGUGUGUGAAAUUGAAAAGCUUUAACUCGGUGUUGAUUACUCUGAUCAGUACUCAUAUGAACAAUUCUGUUAUGGCUCAGAAUUGGAUGACCAUAGUGUGUUAAUGAUGUUUCUUAGCGGUUUUAGUUAUCUUUUACUUUCAGUACUAUUAUUGGAGAUUGGAACUUAUAUAAGCUCUUGUGGUAUGUGCAGAUGUUGUAUACGAAGUUGGAUCAUCCUGGUUCUACUUUGUAUCCUGAGGUUGCAGAUGGCUGGUCUUUUUAAGGACUUACAAGCAAUGUUUUUUGGAAAUCCACGUAUCCUCAUCUUUUCAACAUGAUUUACAUUAUCUUUUACUAGUGAAAAGGCAAAUCUAUUAGGGUCUGAAUCUCAUUUUUUUAUUUCUGUGCGCAGUUAAUGACUUGAAGAUGUGAAACUUUGAUGUUGAUUGGUGAAAAUAACCAGGCCACCUCACAAAUUCAGAACCAUCUAUGAAGGUAAAGCAUCGUGCUGUGCAGAUGAGAAACACUUCUAAAUAGAAUCUUGUUAGCUUGAUAAUCUUUUCUUUCUUUUUUCAUCCUGAAUAGAAUCUAGUCAAGAUGUAUUACAUAUCAUAUUCCUGUACGCUGGGUAUAUAACUGAAUUUUCUGGUUUGCUUAUCCUGUGUUUCACUCUUAUGUUUACAGGAGAUGCCUGUGAUAUAUUUGUUUGUCCCCUCAGGUGAAGUUGACUAAGAUAAACCCUGAAACCACGGUAGAAGGCUCUCCCUUUCCCAAGUAGGUGUUGUUUUACAUUAUCUUUUCAUCUCUCAUUUUACUCAGUGUCAGUGUCUUGCAAUGGUAUCGCUGAAUGUCUGGCUGGAUUUCAUAUUUUGAGGUUUAGCGAUGCUAUGCCUAGAACAGUCCAACUCCUUGAGCAUAGUGAAUUUUCUUGUCAUAAUCUUUGAGUGUGAGUUAGAUACAGCCUACCAUAUAUUUUUGAUAUAGUUUUUCUGCUGUUAAUAGUGAUAUCUAGAAAUGAACUGUGCACAGUUUGAUGAUUUAUAUCAAUCAAUAAUAAAAGCCUAAAACCACUAAAUGUUUUUUGGAGGAACUACUUUGGCUUGAUUUGAUACUUCUUUAUUGUAAGUGUGUACAGGACUUGAAGAUGUUCGUUCGUAUUGCUUUCUAUUAUUUAUCUCUCCAUAUGUUUUAUUAGGAGCAAGCGGUGGAUGGUCUUGAUUGAUGCUGCAAAGGGUUGUGCUACACUCCAAUAAAAGGCGAAUGAGUUUGUUUAGUGAGUACUCAGAUGCAGCUAAAUGCCUCAAGGAUCAAAGGUCUGCUAGCACAGGAUGAUAUUGUUAAUUCCAUGUAAGAUAAAGCAGCAAAAGAGCUUCUGAAUGUGAGCCGUGAUCAGUAUUAAUACCAACAGCUUACAAUGGAUUUGAUUGGUCAGGUUUCUACUUGAACAAAAAUGAAUGGUCUUCUUUAGUACCUAAGAUUAUUUAGGUGGGUUUUAAUCAUAAAUCAUAGGCUAUAGUGUGUUUGGUCAUCUUUUUUAUAUCUUGUGAGAAAGGCCAAUAAGUUACAGAAGAGAAACGAUGUUGAAUAGAAAUAAUUUGUGUGCUUGGUGUUUAGAACGGUCUUAAAAAAAGCAAAUAUGGAAAUGGAGUUCUGUUGCAGCUCAGAGGAAGUGGUGUUAGCAUCUCGUGAUGGGAAGUUUGUUGUGUGAGAACACACUUGAUGCACGAUGGGAUGUUGCAUUCUGUAUGAAGCUUCCGAAGGUAAGGAAAAGUAUUCCAAAAACCCAUUUCAGAGUCUCUCUUUCUCUGAUUUUUUUCUCUUAUGGUCCUUUUGUUUGAUAAUUUGCAGAUUCGUAGGAUACUGUUUGGUCAAGUUGUGAUUCUUUUGUACUCACAGCCAACAAAAUUGUGUUUGUUCACAUACUUUGCUGCGAACCCAACCAAACUGCGUUUUGUUUUCCAUCUUCUUCCAUUUGUUUUGUGGCUAUGAAAAUCAUAAAUAUAUGUUGUUUAUUAUAGAGUUUUGGCUUGAUACUACACAGUACACACUACAUCGAUACGAGUUCAAUUAUAUCUUUUUGGGGCCAGUUUAGGAAAUGGGUGUAAACAGAGUGUUAAGACUCGCUGGAAAGAGACCAACGUGGACUAAAUGCUUUGCAGGUCGGACUAAGGAGUAAAGACUAAAGUAAGUGAUGACGUAUUAGGAGUAAGUAUCAGUUUGAAGUAAAAGGACUCUUUAUCAUUUAUCCGAGAGACCCGGUUUCAAAACCGGAUUCCGGCUCUGGUUGGGUUCUGGUUACAGUUGCAGAUGGCAUUUUACUUCCACCAACCCAUCUGCUCUCAAACACUUCACCAUCAACAGCAUGUCUCUCCAUCAUCACUUGAAUCUUCUUAGUUCUUGAAACCCUAAUCCCCAUUGUACACACUAGCCCUAGGAACAGUAAGACGCCAAAUCCUAAAACAAAUCCCACGAUCCACAACCACCACCAAGUCCACCACGACUCAACCUUCUUCUUAUUGUUCUCUAAGGGCUCGACCACCGAAUAAUCCCCGUGGCUCGAGCCGUAACACACGCCCGGUAGAACCAUUCGGCUUAUAUGAGUCGCUUCCUCGUCUUUGGUCUGUGCCUUGAAGCUCACGCAUCGUACCUUAGAUAGCAUUUUCUCAUUUGUGUCUUUAGGUAGAUCCCUAAACGAAACCUCUACAGGAUUCUUGAUCCUUAAACUUAACUCUUUGACAUUGUCUUGAUCCGAAACGUCCAAGACCUUAAACCCUAAGACAGAAGCAAUCAACCGGUAACCAGGUACAGUAUACCAAUGGUUAGACCAAUUACCUAGAUUUUGGUACACAAUAGCGACUCUCCUUGCAGGAGGAACAGAAACUGACCUUGCCGGAAUAAGCACGUUGCUGAACUUGGCCCCGGAGUUCCACAGGCUCUUUCCUGUGAGACGUACAACGUAGACUUCGAUACCGGAGAGAUUUUCGGGUAAGAUAGCUCGGUAUAGAGCACCGGUAUGAUGUCGAGUGGUUAACGUCUUGAGGGCGAAAUUCUCAAGGGAUUGAGACAAGGAAUGUGGUAAAGUGACAUUAAGGACGGAUGUUGUGGAGUUGAAGUGGAUAAGAGAGGAUUCCGAAGUAGAAGAAAACAAACUACUAGUGUAUAGUAAGAACACAAUACAGCAAGUGAGAGACUUUGAGUUCAUGUUUCUCUUUCGUUUAACUCUUUUGUUUAUCUUCGGGAAAAUGUUCUAAAGAGUUGUGUAAUAAGGAAACUAAAAAAAGGCAAUGUUAAAUGUAGGUCCAUGAGUAAAUGAUGAUGCAUGUACCAAAUAUAUUUAAAAAAACUUAAACUCAAUGGAUCUACUACACUAGUUUCGUUUUAGGAUUUGAAAUUCUAACAAAAUGAUUGUUUGGUUUGUUCAUGACUUUUCAGAUCUUUUAAAAUGUAAAACUGAAUAGUUCAGAUUAGCACUCGGUUUUAUUUAUAUAUAUUGUCAAGUCUCGUAAGUGUGCACACUCUUGAUAGUUAAUAUAAUCCUUAGCGAAACUCAAAGGAUUUUGUUGCACCUUGAAUUGAAAUGUUUUGUCUCAGAUUCUUACAAAUGUAGUGAGAUUUAAAAUGAUUGAGAAAGUAACAUAACAAUUAACAACGCAUGCAAAGAAAGAAAAAACAUCAAAAGGAAUUGACUCUUCUAUAUUGUCUUUUGACAAUUUGAGUAAAGCAAUGUUCAUGCCGCUGAUUGCGCCUAUUCUUUCUUCCCUCCCCUAAAAAUCAUUAUCUCUACUUUUCAAUGAUAAAGGUUCAAUUAUGAUUUCCCAUGUUCUUAUAUCUUCUUACCCCCCCACAAAAAUUUACAAAACUUUUCAUAAGAAAACAAAACAUCUGUUAUGUUUAGACUUGAUUCGUUGAUCCAACAAUAAAAAAAAUAUCAUAUAUAAGAAAAUUAGUUUACACAACGGAAACGGUAUGAACGCAAUUUAUCGAGUUUAGUUCCAAACAUUGUUUUGAACAAAAUAUAGCUUUCGUUGUCAACAUAGUAAAUAUUUACAACGGAAAAAUAGUACUACAAAUCAACAUGAAUUGGAUUUUUCACUUGAGCCUAAAGUGAAAGUUUUUUUUUGAGCCUACUAAGCUUAUAUCCUCAUAGGAAUAUAUGGGCCAACUCUAUAAUAACGGGCCUGAAUAUACCCAAAACAUAUAUUGAAUUUUUUAUGUAUGUUUUUUUUGUUUGUUUUGGCCAGCUGAUUGAGUCAUUUUAUACUGUAUUUUGUAAAAUGAAAUGUAAAAUUCCCUGCCUCUACUUUGCAGAAUCCCAAACUUUCAGAUUCUAUCAAUCUUAAGAUUAUAUAUAUGUAUAUGAGUAGAUAGGUAUUUUUGAGAGUAGUAGAUUGGAGAUAGGUAAGUGUAUCAAACUACAAAUGUAAAACCAAAAGAAAAAUGGAAAAAAGUGAAAAAAAAAAUGUUACUGAAUGGUCAUAUCAAGUGAUGGGGAAAACUGAGGAUUCACUCUUUUUAGAAUAAAAUUUUUAAAAAAAUGAAACAGGUAAGAGAGAGAGAGAGUUUGCUUAGCCAUGAGUUGUGUGUUUCCAUUUCACCUCAACAUAAAGCCAUUCACAUUCUAUACCCAAUUUGCAAUACCAAACAAUUUACACCAAAAUUUUUAUAUUUUAUAUACAAACCACAUAUUAAGUUAGUUUGGAGAGUUCAAUCAAGUUUUCAGGUACAUAUUCAUAUCAAAUUAUAUAUGUCGUCGACGACCUAAAGAGUAAAGAGAAUAUAACUUUGUUGUAGAUAAAACGAAAAUUUCGGGGAAGACAAAAUAAUUGACAGAAUAAAUAUUUGUUAUCAUGAUAGAAAGAUCAAGUGGAACUAGUCAGUAUUUUUUGUUUUUUGUUAUUUGAAUGCUAUUUAUAACAAACUAACCUUGAUAAAAUAAUUAAACUAUUCAUUAUACCAUUGAACUAUCAUAUGAUGUCAGUAAAGCUUUAUAAACUUAGAAAUAUUCAGUUUUUUCAGGAAAUUAAAUAAUAUAAAUUUUGUUCUGUGACACAGGCUGAUAUGAUUAUGAGAAGACUACAAGAAGACUGAAGCAAGUAACAAGAGACUCAUGGAAUCUCUGCAGUUUUGUUUCCCACUUCUGUUUUUUUCUUCCAUGCUUCACUUUUUCUAUCAAUAUCUCUUCUUUUUAUUUUAUUUCUCAAAAUUUGAAGGAUAGAAAUAGAACAAUUAAGAGAUAUAUUAAAAUUGCAAAAGAUUAAUUAAGACAGCUGUAGAAGGACAGAGUCAAAUCAUGGGACAACCCUAUAUGUCCAAUAAAAGCAUUUGAAUCCCUUUGUGUUUCACUCCAAUUACCUUAUGACUCUCAUAAUUGAGUUCUGUGUUCUAUAUCCCUUUUAAGUUUUUUAUAUAUAAGUUUAGAUAAACAUACCAUAAUUAUAGUUGCUGACUCCAAACCAAAUUAAGAUUAGUACAUCGACUGUUUUACACUAUGUACCAAGAUGCCAAGAUCUGAUACUUGGUUGCCUACUUUUACGCACUAUUGUAAGAUGAUUGUGUUUCUAAAACGAUAAAGAGUGUUAUUUAGAUAGAUGGCUGUGAUUAGCAAAGAUUAUACGACAUGCUUCAUUGCUUAUAACUGCCGUAUGUUUUUUACAUAUGUAUCAUCAUAUAUUCAUAUUAUUGCUGCAGUCUCUAUAUUCAACUAGAUUUUUCUGCCAUUGUUUUAUUGGUAAUCUUUUAGGCAACAAAAGCCUUGCCGUCAUGGACCAAAAAUAAAGGUUUUAACUUCACUUAAAUUUACAACUGUUACACCAAUUGGUAACAGUACGAACGGUUGAUUUCUAACCAGUUCUUAAUAACAAUCAUACUUUAUAUGGUAACAUUGAACAAGAAAAAAAGUUUUAUAUAUAAAAAAAAAAAAAAUCGUACUACAAGAAAUGAUAGAUGGAGAAGAAAAGGAGUGGCAUGAGACUAGAUGUGCCGAUAGACAGAUGAGAAAAAAGUUUGAUUAGACAAAAAAAAAAAAUUAUCUUGUUAAAGUUGUGACACAAAAUCAAGCUAGCAGGUUUAUUUUAUUAUGUUUUACUUUUGGUCUCCACUCCACCGAGAAUCUGAUGUGAUGAUAUUCCCAUUUCUUUUUGCAAGAAAUUACACUUGAUUAUACUUUCACAAUUAUACAUAAUUUAAAAAUUUGCAAUUACGUCUGUAGCAUAGUGGCCAUACAGGUCGGGUCAAGUAUGUUUGCAUUUGGGUCAAGUAAGUCACGUGAAUGGGACUUGUUGUUAGUGAUGGUUUUGACGUGUUUUUUACCUACAUGAAUAUUACCAUUACAACUGUUCUAAGUUCUAACAAUGAUUAUAUCUUUGAAAAUGGAAGCUUGCUUCAUCACUAAACAAUCAAAUUGUUUUCUUUUUCUUUCUAACGCUAGUCAAACAUGACUUAGAGAUGAAUCUAUAUUUCAAUAUAUAUAAGAUUUUAUUAGUUCUAUGGAUGGUUAUGGCAUUGAUUUUUAUUAGAAUGUCUCCCCAGCCAAAUAGUUUAUAUGCAUGAAUGUUAACCAAGAAUCGAUUAAUCUGAAAUGAUAGGUUAUUAUAUUGCAUGUGCAACUACCAAAAGGCUAAAACUAGAGUAAAAGCACGGGUUUUAUGGGAUAUAUUAAUCAAAAGCAAAAGGGUUAUAACCUAAAUGUGUCUCUUCAUCAAAAAGAAGCUAAUAUGUGUCUAUAGAUUCCAAACAUAUACGUAACAUUUUUAUAUCACUAGGCAUCCAAAUUUCCACGAGAGACAGAGCUUUUCCUUAAAUUGAUGUUUUACUGACAUCGACAUAAUUAUUUUUUACAAUGAAAUAAUUAAAUCUUUUGAACAGAAAAUUACACCCAAAUUAUACAAAUUGGUUACAUGACUUGUGUGACUGCUUAGAGUUUGAUGAUUAUAUUCAUAUGAUGAUCACUUCUCAUUCAUUUGCCGUUAGGUUAUCAAUCAAGAUCCUCACUUAUAUGUUCGCAUACACCCGAUCUUCACUGAAUCUUUGUAUGCAUGCCUUAUAUAUAUGUUCAUCUCCAUUUUGUUUAAUCUGCCAAAAUAUUUGAUAUUAACAAAGCUUCAGUUAUCUCGAAUGUAAAGAUUAUGUGGAGAACAUAUAUGACAUAUAUAAUAUUUGAUAUUUACAAAGCUUAAGUUGUCUCGAAUGCAAGAUUGUGUGGAGAAGAUAUAUAACAAAUAUAUAGAUUGUUGAUACUAGAGUUAUUAUUGAUCAAACUAUCAAAGUAUCAAUCAUUGGAGUUAUUUAAAAUAUUGACACUGAUUAAACACAUGUACAUCUAGAUACGUAUAUACAUAUGAUACGUAUACAAAAGAGGUAUGUAAUACAAUACCAGUUUCUGCAGCAAAACCCUAGGGAGUGGCCUCCUAGGCUCCUACGUCGACAAGCUUCAAUUCGUUCAAUGAAACGACGUAGCUUUAGGUCCAAAGCUUCAUCUUAGGCGUUUUAAACAGCCCACCUUUGACUUCAUUAGGCAGCAUCAAACAAAAGAAUUAAAGAUAUACUAAUGAACUUUCUGAUUUCUUUAUUCACAUCUUCAAAAUUAGAAAGUUUUUUUCUUUCCAAUAUAUACUAUGUAACCAAUAUUGUUUUUGAUGUUUAGGCAUAAUUGGAAGGGUCAAAUCAUAUGCUUAUUUUAUUUUUUAUAUAGUAUUAGGUUUUCCUAUCAUUUCCUUCAAAACAAAGGAAAAAAUAUAGAUGACAAAAAAAAACAAAGGAAAAAUAUAUAUUUUUAUUUACACAAAGAAAAUAAUUGUUGUGGGUUCAAACAAAAUAAAGAGAAACGUGUUAAAAAAGAAGAAGUGAAAUAAUGUGACAGGAUAUGUAGACAGACAUUGACACGUAUAUAUGAAAGUUAACAUGUGAACAUAGGAAAAAUUGUUCGUAAUUAGAGGUGGUGAAUAUAAGCCGUUACAUAAUUGAUGCAAAAUUGCAAAUGUUAGUAACAUUUACAUCAAAAUUUUGGAACAUAAACAAAAAAAUGUUGAAUAAUUUAGCGUUAUAAUCAAAAUUGAAUUUCUAAGAUUAGAAAAAAAGAGAAACCGUAGCGUUUUAAAAAGUGAUAUUUAGUGUAAAUAUCGAAACAAUAAUAUUUUUAAAAACUCUAAAGAAUGUCAUUAAAGGGAGGACCAUAAUUGGGAAGUGUAAAAAAAAAUGAAAAUUAUGGGAACUUGUUGCUGCAGUGUUAACUCUUCAAACCCCAAGAGAAACAAAACCUCAUGAGUUUGUCGCCAUCUUUCUUGCUUCCUUUUUAUACAAAUAUAUUUUUAAUUACACUUAAACCCUAGCCAUCAUCUCAAUAAUAGACAAAACCCUACUUGAAAAUUGCAACCGCUAAUUCCCAGAGAAUAAUAACUCAAAGGGAGAGAGAGUGAAAUAAAAAUGAAAUCAAAAACAUUACACAUACAUGUUUAUACACACACAUCGUCUCUUUCCUUGAGAACUGGUAAUGAAAUACAAAAGUAAAAACCUAAUUUGCAAUUUAGGGUUCAAAUUUUUGUUAACCUAGAACGAUGGCAACCGGAGGGAGAGAAGAUAUUGUGAAGAUUACAUAUAUUAAUACAGAGAGGUAUGAGGACAUCUAGAUAUACCAGAUUUGAAUAUCUGGAAUCGGUCAUAUUCUUCUUCUCCUGUGCAAGGAGAUGCCUGAAACAUAGGGAAACCCAAAAUGUUAAUUUUAUUAGAAAUAUAUAUUUACAUAUAAGCUUGCAUCGACUACAUGUUUAAGCAUAAGAGAUAUUAACCAAGAAAAUCGGAAUACCAAGAAGAAAGGGAGCUCCCUUCAGUCCAAUCAAAGAGAAUCAAUGAUCCAAUUUGUCUACCGCAUCAUUCAUUCAUUUAACAAGUCUUGUUCCAAUUUUGGUGAGACUCGGUAUUUGGAUGAAUGAGUCGGAAGCUAAUUGGAUCAUAUCACGACCUGUGAAUGGACUCAAGGAAGCUCUCUCCGUACAUAUAUUCCUAUAACAUCAAUUUUAAAUUAUAUAGCGACUAGUAACUAUAAACUACAUGUUAUGUACUUUUCACCACAUAAAAGAAAACUACAUGUAUGUACUUGUGUCCAAGCGUGUGUGUGUGUAAAAAUACUCUAAAUUUGCAUGGAUCUAGAACCUAGCAAGCGAUAAAUCAUGAUUUUGAAAAAUAUGCAGCAAAUUUUGAAAGAAAAGGAAGAAAUCCUAGAUCUCAUAUAAAAGUUAAAGCAAUUCUAAUAGAUCUAUGACAACAAUAAUUUGUAUGUAUCUUUAUUGGAGAGAUACAGAUCCUUGGAACAAAAUUUAUAAACAAAAACUAGAGAUGAGAAAAGAAGAUGAUGGUAUAUGUAUGUAUGUAUGUGGAUGCAUGUAUGUGUAUAGAGAAAAAUGAUGAGAGAGACUUUGAACAAAAGAAGAUUUGAUGAAGAAAGAGAUAGAGGGAUAAAGAGAGAGAGGCGUAGAAAAUAGUAGAUGGUAGAUGCGAGGAAAUACACUAUGGAUACAAGAAUGCAAAAGUAGUGAUGGGUUUUUAUAAGCUGCAAAUGUUUUGAACUGUAGAGGUAAAUUUUGUAGAAUAAAAAAUAAGGAAAAAUUGCCUCAAUAUUUUUAUUAACUUCAUUGGUACGUGGACUUACUUGGACACAAACUAAGAUAAUGUUGGAAACUGUCAAUUAUUUAAUGUGUAGAGGCUUAGACCGGAUAGUUCCCUUUUCUCAUCUACAAACUUGUAUACCUAUAGAUUAUUAGUCUAUUUUUAUUUUACUUUUUUACUUACUACUACUCUAUAUCCUUUUAUUCCUUUUUUACCCAAUAUUUACUUUUCUUUUGUUUCUUAUAUGAGAAAAAAAAAAUCUAAGAAAUUCUUGAUGAUACGUUAAUAAUAUAUCAAACCAUUGUUCUUUCUGAUUGUUUUGUUGUCAUAUAGUAUACACUUUUAUAUGAAUAAGUAAAUUCUUGAAAAAUAACUAAAAUUUGAUAUUUCAGAGAUAUUUGUUUUAUUGAAGUUAUUUAAGCUUUAUAAAAAGAAGAUAUAGUAUAGGUAAGAGAAUAAAAAGUAGAAUAACAUAUGCAAAUAGAAAGAAGUUGAUUCGAAUAAACAUUUUAACUAGUUAGAUAUCAUUUACCUGGAAAAGAUAAUGAAUUUUGACAAGAGUGAGUAUUAAAAUACGUUUCCAUCACUCAGUAUAUGGUUUUAAACUACAACGGUAAGGGAUUGGAAAAAAUGAUGCGAGCCUAAGCCCCGGACAAGCAGCCGACGGAUUAGAGAAACCUACCAUACCCCAAUCAUAUAUACUAAGACCAACUUAAUGACCAGAACCAUGAACAUAAUUUAAAAAGAGGCCAUGAACUAGUUCGUGAAGUAUCUGAUCAAGAAUGAUGGGAGGACCCAUACCGCAUUGUCCUUAGCUCAAAAACUUACCAUUGACCACCUCCAUCAAGAUUAGUGAACAAUGAUCACAAUCACAUACCAGGUGUGUAUGUGAUCCUCACGCUCCAAAUUCUUGAGGUUCUAACUGAUUCACCGUCAGCAUUCUUCGAAGAUUCACAUUUUUUUAUUUUAUGUUUACCCGAGUCGAAGUUAGGGCCUCUCUGCCCUCUUAUCAAGAGUUUUUAUAUUUGCAAUCUUCUUGAUGAGACAAAAUCCAGUGGACUCCUUUGUUCUCAAUUUUAUUACAAACACAAAAGUCAUAAGCAACUUUUGGAGAAACGAAUACAAUAAUUCAAGACAUAAAUUGAAAUUCAAUGGCAAUAGUUGCGUCUGUGAUCCACAUAACAAUACAAAAAGGAAUGAACAUAUCCACUCAAAAGUUACACUUCACACCAUUUUACACUCGAUGGUUGCCUUGUGAUAUACUCAGUUGUUCACUGUGGUCACAUUUUUCAGAAGCAUCUCCACAACAUCUUUGGAAAUUCUCGAAGCUUCGUUCUUCAAUUGCUCGAUUUUGGCAUUAGUCUCUUCCUCAAGCCUCUUCACGUUUGCACCUGAAUCUCCACUUGUCUGUUUUCACAUUCAACAUUUCUCAUCAAUAACAAGUGUUCGAACCAACCAGGAUGUCUAAAAGAAAACAUUUGUAGUGGCUUAAGAUAAAGUUUGAAAUUUUACCGCUUCAAGUUUCCUCUGGAAACCCUGCUCUGUACUGGUUCUGUGCUCAGCAAUCUCUGUUUCAGCCUCAUCCUUGGCUUGCUUCAGUCUUGUCAUUUUUGCUGGGCAUAAAAACACAUCCACAUUCUCAAUAACAAGUUGCAAUUUCUGUCAUUCAUUUAGUGUCAACUGGUUCCAAUUAUGCUAGCUAAAUCACUAGAGAGCUCUUUGUUACAAUCAAAUGCUAAUCAAACUAAGUCAUUAUGUCAUCACUCUUAUCACCAAGGUACUAACAUUACACCAUCAUGCUUUUAAGACAUUCACGUAGAAACCAGAAUUGUUAUAAGAACAUGUAACGAUGAGUAAACAAAUCAAAUGCAAGACCUUUAACGAUUCUAAAGUUUCAGACUGAAAGGCGAUAUAAGGAAGGAGCUUGUAAAUACCGUUCCUAGCCGCAGUGACAAUCUGCUGAGCUUCGUGUUCAGCAGCAAGCAAUUGCUGGAUCCCUCCUCCAUGAUUGGAUUCCAUGUUUUCUUCAAAACCUCAAAAAGAAUCUGUUUUUUUUCUUUAAGAACAGUUCAGAUCAUUCAAUUAGUUUGAUGAUCACAUGAUUAUGUGAGAAGUCAAACUCCAAAAAUGUGAACUUUAACAAAGUGUACGCAUUUUUUACAAACAAACACAUGAAUCUAAAACAGUGAUCCGAUCGAGCAUAAGAUGCGAUCACCCUUUGUUUAUAAAAUACAUUUAUACAGAUUCAAAUCACAACUCUGUUCGAAGAGUCAAAUCAGAUCUGUUCAGCCCAGCAACCAAAUUCAGCAUUCAGGAUCAAAACAAGUAGAACUCUGAUCUAACAUUGAAUCAAAUAAGAUCUAGAAUCCUAAAUUGUACAAACUGGUUUGAGAAAUGAGAACAAUCUAGCGACAAAUGUGUAAACAAAUCUAUCAAAACCCAGAAAUCUAGGAGAGACAGAGAGAAGAAAUUUACCUGCUUUAAGCACGGAAAUGGAGAGAGACGAAGACUUGGAAAAAUAUUAAGAUCAACAGAUUGAAUUACUCAGAGGAAGAGGAAAACAGAGAGAGAUGAACAAUAUAUUAUUCUAUAAGAAUAACGGGCCUGGUUAAACCCAUUAUACGCUUUAAAAUGAGGCCCAUUAAUGGAAUGGACCCGUAAGCAAUUUGCAAAGGCUGUAGCCAGUAGUCACACACACUUUCAGUUCCAGCGUAGACAUUGUUCUUCUUUAUAGGCUUUAAUACAAUGUUCAAUGAAACCAACUAGUACAAAAAAGUGAUUAUUUAGAAGGAAUAUAAAUUUUGUUGUUGUUUUGAGAGGUACUUUAGCUUCGUUAGCUACAAAGCGGACGUGUGUUGCCCUUUGAUCUUUAUGGUUGACUUUGUUCAUUUUGAUUUAUGAGUAAGUUCGACAAGUUUGUUUCUUUUGAUCUCUAGUUUAAGCUUUUACUUUUGUUUUCGUGUCUGUGGUUUUGUAUUUUUCAAUGUCUUUUUAGUUUGCCCUUUUUUUCAUUUUACCCCCUUUUUUUUUUCUUUCUCCCUAGUGAGAAUACUCUACUAAACACCAAUCACAACCCUUGGACGUAUCAAUGUGAUUAUCUGGUAGAGAGUGAGGUAAGAAUGGGAUUCUUAGGUAGGCCAAGUUGAUGUACAAAAUAAAUAAAUGUAUAUAACUACGUCAUGCAUGAUAACCUAAUCACUGAUUGCCCGGAAAAGUCUUAUACUCUUAUGUAUCUAUGAUCACCAUGUUAAUGACAUAUAUGAUCGUUAGGAUGUAUUUGACAUGAUUGAUGAUACAUAACGUAACCGUGAAAAAAUUUAACUAAAAAAGGAUAAAUUUUAGAAAAUUGGAUUUGAGUUAAUAUGAAUCUAUAGUAGAAUUAGACCCCAAAAAACGAAAAACUGAACUUAAUUUCUCUUUUCUCACGAUAGAUUAAGGAAUUGCCCGAAUAGGAUUAUCUUAUCCAAAAUCCAAAGUUGAAAUCUAAAACGAAUUGUGAUGUUGUUUAACAUUUUUAAAAAGUCGGCUAUAAGGUUUUAAUUAUCAAAGUAUAUUGGUUGACACUGUCGGAUGAAAGCGAUUCAUAGACCACGAAAGUAUAUAUAUUUAAUAACUAAUCAUCAUGAUGACUUUGAACCUUUUUGUAUGGUCGAAACGUUACACAUCCACGUGUCACUAGAAUCUGAUGUCCUCCCACGUGUCCGGAACUCCAAAACCACUAAACUAUUAUACGCAGUUUUGCCGUCUUGUAAUUUCUUAAAUUAAAUAGUAUCUCCUUUCAGAUUCCAUUUUAGAAAAACACUCUUAUCUAAAUAUUUUGGGUGGUUUACCAUUUCAACAUGACAGACACACGUAACAGGUGUGCACACUGCAUAGCCACAACGUAGAUCAGACAUGAGAGUAUGGUACCACUAUUUAUUUUUGUAUAUGCCAUUUAUCAUCUUAACAUAUACUUAAUUUGCUUGCUGAUUGCGAACUCUUACAUAUUUAUUUGAGUCAUUGAUAUCCCAAACUUUUGGUAUAAAUUAAUAGUUUAUGUUAAUCAGUGUUAUAUAUGUUAAACAUAUUACUCGACCAUAUAUAUGGUAUAGUUUAUGAUUUUAGAAGACAUUCGACAAGAAUCUGACAAUAGUUUAUGUACCCUUAUUGUUAUUUCCCGUUCAAUUUACUAAUUUUUCUAAGUGAUCCAAUAAUAAACCAACAUUUUUUAUAUGUUCAAUCAACCAAGCAUUGACAUUAACUUAUCAAACGAUAAUACAUUGAAUUUGGAAUCUGACUUUCCAAGUAUGAUUGAUGGUAUUUUAAAUAACGUUUUAAGUUCUUUUGAUGAACAUUUCAAAUAUAUUAAGAUAUAUACUUUAUUAUGCUGGCAGAAAGAAUGGUUUUGUUGUUUAAAAAAUAUAUAUAUAAUGUCGUAUAUAUGUUUAGGUUAUUACAUAUUCAAUUGAUGAUAUCACAUAUUUAUAGAAAGAUGUUUAUAAAUUUUGGAUAAAGGUGCUGUGGAUAAAACUCAUUAUGUAAAGAUUUGGUUGGAAUUCUAUGUUUAUGGCAAAAUAUAUAUAAGAUUUUUACUUUGAUGGGUUGAAAGUUAAAACGUAUUCAUAAAAAAUAAAAAAUAACAAAAGGUCAAAUGGAAUAUGGACCCCAACUCAUCGAAUUGAAUAUAUAUCAUUGUUCCUCUACUCAUUGAUUAACAGAAAAAAAAAAUCAUAUAUAUAAAACCUCCAUAAUGUAGAAUUAUCCAAGUUGACUCGAUACAAAUAUUCAAUCACUAAACAAAAGAACACGUUAUAAGUUCAUAUGAGAAAUGUAAGAUACAUAAUUUAAGUAAAUAAUGUAAAUGUAUUACUGCACUGAUUGAUAAUUAGUUUUUGGAUGUAACUAAGCCCUUCCACAUUCACAAUAUGGAAUGUAAACCUUCAUAAUUUUUUUGUCAACGAGAUUCAUAAAGUUGGAGAGAGAUAUACUGUAUAUGAAAUUGGAGUACUCCUCUUUCUGAGUUUGUUUUGAUGAGCAUUGGGGAACUAGUAUACACAACCUCUUAAUUAUAAUUUUUGUUGGUUAACACGUGUUUUCCUUAAUACAGUAACGAUUUCAAAUUCUUAUACUUAACAGAAAAUUGAAUAUGAAAAAAAAAAGAAAAAAAGAAAAUGAAAUCAUGAUAGUUCGAAAACAUUAGUAAAACGGAUUCAAUUUAAAUGUUUUCACAUUUUUUUCAUCAAAUCCGAACAUGUGAAAAAGAUUGGUUCAUUCAGGUACCAAUAAUUAUAUUUUAGUAAUUAGGAUGUGGGGUUAAUUUGAGUUUAAUUUAAUCUCUCUAUCUUUUUAUUAUUUCGGUCAAACAAAUCUCUAUAGUUAAAAUAUGUGAUCUCUGUCUGUCUGUCAUAUACAUUAAGUGAAACGUGGAAUGUAAAUUGAGUAUGGAUAAUGUAUAUUUUCACUAUAUGUAGUAAUCCCAUAUGAUAGGUUGAACUACCUGUCAAAAUAAUAUUUUCAAACUAAUGUCUUAUUCAUAUAUUUGUGCUACUGAGACCUUAAUCACAUUUACUUUAUUUGAAUAGGGAUAUGUACAUAUAAAAAUGGUGGUCGGUUGGUGUUUAUGUUUUAAGAGUGUUUAAGUCUCUUUUUUUAAAACACUAAGAGUGUUUAGUCAUAUACUUUUUGUGCAUGUACGAGAUAAAUGGUAAUAUAUCUAUAAAUUCAUUAAUCAUUGUGUGCUUAAGAGCAAGGAUAAACUGGAUUAAGAAACUUAAUUUGGUCAACUUAACUUCGCUAGAAAGGUGUGAGAUGGUGGCAUACGGCGACAACUAAUAAGAGAUAGAGAGAGACAAUAGAUACAUUUGAGAUCUUUUUACAGAAGAGUCUAACUUUGACUAUUUUAUUUGCUUUCUUCUUUAGGUGGCUCUAAUUUCUGAAAUGUGAAUGCCGAGAUAAGAAAUAAAGACUGUAAUUUUGGGCUUAUCUUACAAGUGGCACGUACGUAUACAAAUAAGACUUGCAAUUUUUUUUCUAAAAUAUCCAACGAAUUUCCGAGUCAUCUUAAUUCAUAAAAUGAUAUAUUAUAUUUGUAUUAUUUUUAAAAGAUAUUUUCAAUAUGAUAGUGGUAAAUUUUGCUUGUAGGAGAGGACGAAUCAGAUGUUGACAUAUGAACGCACCAUCGUCAAAGAGAGACACCCGGAAGAACAUGCAUACAAUGAUCUCGAGUUUGUAAGAAUCUCAUAUUUUAUAAGUGAAUAUAAAAAUUGUAUGUGGGAAUUGGAAUCAAAUAGCUCACAGUAGUGAUAAUGUCUUAUAAUGAGACGAAAAUGCAUUAUAUACAAACAUAUGGUGAAAUUAAAUCUAAGACUAAGAUGAUGUGAAAAUCUUAUAUCUUGGGGUCUAAAGAAAGAAUGAAUUAGUGAUGGCGAAACCUAAUUAAUUAAGGUGUACAUGCUUAAGAUGAAAUAACUGAGGUUAAUUAUGAUCAUGUCUAUGUAUCAUGGCACAUGGUUAACAAAUAACAAGUUCCAUGAUUUAGAGUAUACGAUAUGAGAACUAAAAUGACAAUUACAGUAAAAACCGUCCAAAUUCAGAAUCAUUAGUCACCAAAUUAGUUAAAGGAAAUCAAUUUGCUAGUUGCCAAUCCUAGCCGCAAGAUAAUGUUUUCUAUCUUAUUAUUUAUAAAACUUAAAAAGAAGAAAAAAGUAACUCCCGCGCAAAAGGGGGCAAAAUCGGUAUUUUAAGAGACUUGCCAGGCUAUAUAAAGAGCCCUAGUAAACGAGUCUGAUACAUCUUCAUCCGCUUCUUACUAACAUAUCAUCACUCCUCCUUAACCUCAAGUCCUAAUCCAGAAACAGAUAAAUAAAAGAGUUCCAAAUUUCACUAACAAGAAUCACAAAAUCCGUAUAAUCCCUUCGUUCAGAUCUUAUAGAUCAACCAAGUAUAAACGGAAACAUAUCUGUUUUUUUUAUUAAAUUCAGAUAUAUCUACACUUAUCCGGUGAGUAUAUCUUCAUCUCUAUCCAUCCAAAACUAGUAUAUUAUAUUUCAAUCCUGAUCUUUUUUAAGUAACACAAUAAUCGAUGAUCGUGUAACAUGCACCUUCUUUGUUACGUUUCUUCUAUAUUGACUAAUAGGGAACCAUAAUACAACUCUCUUUUUUUUUAUCAAUGAUAAUGCUGAGAAGUCAAUAGAAAGAAUCCAAAGAUCUAUCAUGUGCAUAUUUUUCCCCUGGAAAUGCAAAAAAUAUGAAUAGUUGAUGAUAAUAAUUGGAAACUAUAGGUCAUGGGAGGAACAAAUGGAACAACAUGUCCAGGGCCAAUGAAAGCAACAUCAAAUGGAGUAUUCCAAGGGGAGAAUCCUCUGGAGCAUGCGUUGCCUCUUCUCAUACUCCAGAUCUGUAUCGUUCUUCUUCUCACCCGUCUUCUUGCUUUUCUCCUCCGUCCUCUCCGGCAGCCACGUGUCAUCGCCGAGAUUGUCGUACGUUUCUCUCUUUCUUUUUUUCGGGUUCAAUUUGUUUUUUUUUUGGGGGGUCAAUGUUUAUAUUAUUCAUCUUAUAUUAUCCAUUUUGGGGUCUAAUAGUCAAAAGAUAUUAUUGCCAGUUUGAUCAAUUAUUCGAUCAGGUGACGGGAUUUUUUGGAAUUUUACAUUGAGAAGACUAGUUUAGCUCCAAUUAUUAUUCUGAUUUAGUCGUCGGGUUUAUUUAUAUGACGUAGCUAUCGUAGGAACUUUCAUCAGAAUAUUCGUUUUCUUCCACAUAAUUCGCUAACACGUUAAGCUUUAAGAGUAUCUUUUUUUUCUUUCCUAUAAACAGGCUUACACGCACACACAUUAAUAUCUUAUAAUAUCUAUGUUUGCAUCCACGUUCCUAUGAAUCUUGUGGCCAGUGAUUAAUUCCAACAUUUGGAAUAAAAUACUAAUAUGACGAUGUUAACUUUUGAUUAAGUCAUAGAUAAUCCAUGUAUAAUUACUUUCUUUAUUAUAUGACUAGGCAAAUAAUACACUAAAAAAAUUAAACACAGAAUCACUGAUUAUAACAUUAUUAAUUUUGGAAUUAUAACGUAUUUAACUUUUAGUUUUAUGUUGUGGUUUUGGUGGAUUAUAUCUCAUUUGAUUAUUACAUUGAUUUAUUCAGAAAAAUAAUGUCAUUAAGUUUGAGUUAUGUUUUUUGUUGUGACUAGGGUGGAAUAUUACUUGGACCAUCAGCUCUCGGGAAAAGUUCAAAGUAUCUCACUACUAUUUUCCCACCGAAGAGUUUAACGGUCUUAGACACACUUGCAAAUUUAGGACUCAUCUUCUUCCUCUUCCUCGUUGGUCUCGAGCUCGAUCCUAAAUCCCUCAAACGAACCGGAAAAAGAGCUCUCUCGAUCGCUUUAGCUGGAAUGACUUUUCCUUUUAUCCUCGGUAUUGGAACAUCGUUUGCUCUCCGCAGUUCCAUUGCUGAUGGAGUCAGUAAAGCUCCUUUCCUUGUCUUCAUGGGGGUUGCUCUCUCCAUCACCGCUUUUCCAGUCUUGGCACGAAUUCUAGCUGAGAUCAAGCUUCUGACCACUGAUGUCGGAAAGAUUGCUUUGUCUGCUGCUGCGGUUAAUGAUGUGGCAGCAUGGAUUCUCCUUGCUCUCGCAGUGGCUCUCUCGGGUGACGGGAACUCUCCUCUCACAUCUCUGUGGGUGUUUCUCGCGGGGUGCGGUUUCGUCUUGUUCUGUAUCUUUGUCGUGCAACCGGGAAUUAAGUUGAUUGCUAAACGUUGUCCUGAGGGAGAACCAGUUAACGAACUUUACGUGUGUUGCACGUUAGGUAUUGUUCUUGCUGCUAGCUUUGUCACUGACUUGAUUGGCAUCCACGCGCUGUUCGGUGCAUUUGUGAUUGGGGUUAUUUUCCCUAAAGAAGGUAAUUUUGCGAAUGCUCUGGUUGAGAAAGUUGAGGAUCUCGUGUCAGGUCUUUUCUUGCCACUUUACUUUGUCUCAAGCGGUUUGAAAACGGAUGUGGCGACGAUUCAAGGAGCUCAGUCUUGGGGACUCUUGGUUUUGGUUAUUUUCAAUGCUUGUUUUGGUAAAAUCGUUGGUACAGUUCUCGUUUCGCUUUACUGCAAAGUUCCCCUUGACGAGUCUUUAGCACUUGGUUUCUUGAUGAACACAAAAGGCCUUGUUGAGCUCAUUGUCCUCAACAUCGGUAAAGACAGAGGGGUAAGUCCAUAAAUUUUAUACUUUAAAACCAAAUUUUACACACAAAAAUUGCAUUUUAACUUGAAUUUAUGUUAUGUGUUGUCACAGGUUUUGAAUGAUCAAGUAUUCGCAAUAAUGGUUCUUAUGGCGAUUUUCACCACGUUCAUGACAACUCCUCUAGUUCUUGCAGUGUAUAAACCGGGUAAAUCUUUAGCCAAAGGUGAUUACCAAAACCGAACAAUCGAGGAUACAAAGAAGUCCAACAAACCUCUCCGUCUCAUGUUCUGUUUCCAAAGCAUAAUGAACAUCCCAACAAUCGUCAACCUCAUAGAAGCAUCCCGAGGCUCAAACCGCAAAGAAACUCUAUCGGUCUACGCUAUGCAUCUUAUGGAGCUUUCCGAGAGGUCAUCCGCUGUACUCAUGGCUCAUAAAGUCAGGAAAAAUGGUCUUCCUUUCUGGAACAAAGGGAACGAUAGUUCUUCCGACAUGGUGGUGGUCGCAUUUGAGGCUUUCCGAAGACUCAGCCGUGUCUCUGUGCGUCCCAUGACGGCAAUCUCAGCGAUGGCGACUAUUCAUGAGGAUAUAUGCCAAAGCGCGACACGCAAAAGCACUGCUAUGGUGAUUCUUCCGUUUCAUAAACACGUUAGGCUGGACAGAACAUGGGAGACGACUCGGAACGAUUACCGUUGGAUUAACAAGAAGGUUAUGGAAGAAGCUUCAUGUUCUGUUGCGAUUCUGGUUGAUCGUGGACUUGGUGGUACGACUCGUGUAGCGUCUAGUGACUUCUCAUUGGUUAUAACGGUUUUGUUUUUUGGAGGGAAUGAUGAUCGGGAGGCGUUAGCGUUCGCGAUGCGUAUGGCGGAGCAUCCAGGGAUAAGUUUAAACGUUGUCCGGUUUAUCCCUAGCGAGGAAUUUAAACCGGAAAACGUAAAGCUUGAGAUAAGCGAAGAUCAUGCAUCAUGCUCAGUGGAAACAAGAUUGGUUGAUAUAGAAGCUAUAACCGAGCUUAAAGCAAAGAUUAAAGAACAAGAAAGUUCUCUGUCUAAUUUGGAAUCCGAAUCUCUAAUCGUUUACGAAGAGAAAAUCGUGAAAUCUCACGAGGAAGUUUUCGAAGCUAUCAAAGAGUGUUCUAAAAGCAAUCUUUUCUUGGUGGGGAAGUCACCUGAAGGUUCUGUGGCGUCGGGGUUACACGUGGAAAGAAGCGACACUCCUGAGCUUGGACCGAUCGGGAAUUUGUUAACGGCAAGUGAAAGUGUCUCGACGGUAGCCUCAGUAUUGGUGGUGCAACAGUACAUUGCUAGCCGUGUUCCUUCGCUCUCGAAGGACGUCAUGAAUGAAAAGUCAUUGGUUGAAGAUUCUGAGAGUCCUUAAUGGUUUUUCUCUUUGGUAUUCUGUGAUUCGAAAUGUCAAAAGAUUGGCUUGUAUGAUGAUGACAUGUGUUUCAUAUUGUAAAUAUUCCGAAUAUAUGAUUUGUGUAUGGCAAAGUCUCUGUUUCAUUUGGAUUUGGUUUUAAAGUUUUAUUUCACAACUAACAGGAGUCAAGGGAGAAACACAAAUUCAUAACUAUAAAGUCCAUUAUUAGUAAAAAAAAAAUAUUUGUAGUUAACAAAAAAAAAAAUUACGAAAGAAAUUCAAGUGGAAGUUUAUUUGGUCAUCAGUUCAUGUGUCAAUUUGAAGUUGAUUUGGUGCUAAUAAUUUGAAGUUAAUUCGAUGCCAAAUUGUUUUAUUUGGUCAAAUAACUUAACCAAAAAAAUUCAUGGAAUUUAAUUGUCAAGUUUAUAGGAAUGUUUUGUGGUUGACGGCUAUUUUUGGGGAAUCGUUUUUAUUUUAGAUCUGGUGUUGGAAUUCAUGGAAUUUAAUUGACAAGAUUUAAUUUGUUUGCCUAAUCAAAUAUGCGUUCUGACGUGUGAACUGUGAUGAUGUGUUUCAUCACUUUUUAUGUCGACAUCGAAUCUGUUUGUUGUUCAUACUAAUAUGUAUAAUUUGCUAGGCUGCACACUAAUUGUUUAAUUUAUAAAUUUAUAAUGUUUCGGUGAUGUCAAUAGCAUAUUGGUUUUGAGAUUUCUGAUCACGAAUGAUCCUUUUUUUUAUAGGAUUCGUGCAACAUACGAGGAUAUAUCUCAAAAUAUUCACCUAGAUACGAUGAUGGGCCAAAACAUUGAUAAAAUACAUUGGGUAUUUCGCUAAUUAUGUAUUCAGUUGUCCUAGAAUAUGUAAGUGUGUGUUGUAGAGCAAGAAGAGAGAAAAAAAAAUGUAAAUCAUGCACCAUAGCCCUGACUUCUUUUAUAGAUCAUGCGUUUUUUUUUCUAAAAAUGUUAAUAUCAUAAUCAAACAAAAGUUUAAGGAUUACAUAUAGCAAAGCCCAAAAGUAGAGUAAACCUUGGCAAAAAAAUAAAACACGGUUACAAUAAGGUAAAAUUGGUUUGAGAAUUACUGCAGCCAAAGAAACAUAAAGUUUUUCAGCGGGUUCUAUGUUUCCGAGCCGUGAUGGUGUUUCGCACUUCACGGUCAAUGUUUUUGAAAAUAGACAGAAGAAAGAUGUACUGCUGGUUGUGGAGUACAUUGUUCAGCUGUUUCCAAAUAUGAAAGACUGAUGCUUGAACUGCAACUUUGAGAAUGAUAGAAAGCAUGUAUCAGUGUAAAAUAAAUUACGGGCUUAAUUUUGUAGCAAAUGAUAAAUCAUGCAUCAGAAUAAAACCAAGUACUUGCUUGUAUUUUGUGACAAAAAUGGUUUUACUUAAGUCUUAGGUAAUAUAUAUUAAUUUUGAGGCAUUCGAAUUCAAACACUAGUCUCUAGUAGUGGUUCAAGACCGAUUCGUACUAAGGAAAUAGGCUUUCGCGCUAAUCACUUUUAUUCCAUAUGUAUUUAUAUUGUAAUCCUAAUAAUCUCUUUAAUUAAAAUUGUCUUAAUUUCAGAAAAAAAAUUAUAAUGAUCUUUAUUAAAAUAAAAAUAGAAAUUAACAUGAGCACGACACCGAGUACAACCAAGACUUUUAUAGUCUACGGACAAAUUCAUGACAUGGCAAGUGUGGUUUGGUAUUCAACUCCGUUUAUCUUACCCAUUUUCAAAGGCUUUGUACAAAACUUUAGUUCUGAUUUUAUGCAGAUUUAUUAGUUUCUUUGAGUACUCAUGUUCACAAAAUCUCAAAGCAGUUUUCUUUCCAAACCUGUAUUUGAAGGAUAUAUAUAUAUAAGAUUUUUUUGUGAAAGUUUCUUACUUUGUUAUAUAUGCGUUGUCUUAGUUGUUAAAAGCUAAAACAUACUUGGUUUAGAAGCUAAUCUAGUAUCGACAUGGGUCUACGUUGAAGUCAGUAAGGGACAAAUGAGGAGUUAGGCAACUAAAUCCCUUUGAACUCUUUUUUCUUUUUAGAAUCAAAUCAUAUUGUUUGACCUUUUAACGUUUUUGCUUUUUUUACUCAUGUAGUCAUGUGUUAGGAAGGAGUUAGUGACAUGUAUAUUAUUGACUAAUACUACUAUUUUAAAACUAAAUAUGAGAAAAUACGAUUUCUUAAAUGAAUUAGUUGAUUAUAAAGUUCUCGAAGAAUUUUUAAUUUAUAUGUUAGUCUUAUACGUAAAGUAAAGCGAUAUAGAGAAUAAUUGCUCUGUAUGAGCAAUUGCGCAUGCCGCUGUAUAAUUUUAACAUUUAUAUACAUAAAAUACUCUAAAUGAACUAAAUUCUUAACUUUAUUUAAAUUGUAUAAUUUUUUAUUUUUUGUAUAAUUAUAACAUUUAUAUACCUAAAAUACUCUAACAAUACUAAGUAAUUAAUAAACACCUCUAUGAAUCUACCGUCGUUGAAGUUUCAAGUUUUGUUUUUCUAUGCAAAAUUCCUAUCACAUCAAUCUUGGCAUAUCGCUCGAACUAGAUGAUAACUCUUGCUAGAUGAUUCAAGAGAAAGGAAUUUUGAGGAGCAAAAUCUCAAUUUUUUUUCAUUUAUUAGUUUUUUUUUUUUUUACUUUAAUUUCAAAGUUGUUAGAUUUUUGGUUUGAUGUUAAUUAGUGUCGAUCUCUAGUAAGUGUAUCACUAAAAUUAAUGAUCAAUAUACUAAACGUAUAAUUUUUGUGAAGCAAUCUUAGAAGCAAAGCUUGAACGUGAUUUGUUUUACACGUUACCUAAUUUUCACCAUAUGCACCGCACAUGAGUGAUGGGGUGUUCCGUUAUUUUAAGGCAAUACUUCCCAAAGAGUUUUUAAAUAAUUGAUUUGCUUUUUCCAAUUUCGUGUAAAACUUUAUUUUUUGUGUUAAAAUUAUUUUCAAAUAAUUUAGAAUAAUCUUCAACUUGUUGUGUUAUCAGCUAGCCGUCGACUUUAUACUUUUAGGUUGGACUCACCAAACGUUAAAUAUAUAUAGUACAUAUAAAAUCAUUAAACCUAUCCAGUCUUUUUUAUUUUCUGUCAACAUACAAAUUAUUUCUAUCGAAAAAGUGAAUUAAGUUGUAGCUUAUAGUUAUCACCAACCCCGCUUUUAAUUUGUCCCUAUACAUGAACUUAAAACCUUAUAUUCCACUCUAAUUUCUUUUAAAUAAAAUUUUGACCAAACAUCAACGACCCAUUUAGCUGUGUCUUCAAACUUUUUAAUUCUUUCUGUUAUCCAAAUAAUAUUUUAUCUAUAUUAAAACAAAUGAUACUUCUAUAUAAAUGGGUGCAAGCCCUCGUCAUUUAAACACAACUCACUACACACCAGCCUCUAGCUAACUAUGGCAUCUCCAAUAGAGAAACAACUCUUCAAAUCCCUCUUCUCAUUCUUCUUAUUGGUUUUACUUUUCUCUGAUACUGUUUUCGGAUCACGAAGAACACUUGAUCAGAAAAAACCAUGCAAACACUUCUCCUUCUACUUCCACGACAUCCUCUACGAUGGUGACAAUGUAGCAAACGCAACCUCGGCCGCCAUCGUGAGCCCUCCAGGGCUAGGAAACUUCAAGUUCGGUAAGUUUGUGAUAUUCGACGACCCAAUAACGAUGGACAAGAACUAUCUCUCGGAACCCGUAGCUCGUGCACAAGGCUUCUAUUUCUAUGACAUGAAGAUGGACUUCAAUGCUUGGUUUUGUUACACGCUGGUGUUUAACUCAACUCAACACAAAGGGACAUUGAACAUAAUGGGUGCGGAUUUGAUGAUGGAGCCGACAAGAGAUCUAUCAGUCGUUGGUGGGACAGGUGACUUCUUCAUGGCUCGUGGGAUCGCUACCUUUGUGACAGAUCUAUUCCAAGGCGCUAAGUAUUUCCGAGUUAAGAUGGAUAUUAAACUUUACGAAUGUUACUAACUAAUUAUAUGUGUUUUUUUUUUUUGGCUUGAAAUUUGUGUGUAACACAGAGAUUAUGUGUUACUAUAAUAAGUAAGUGUUUUAUUGUAUGUCCCUUUUUUGUGUUGUUCUUUUGAUUUAUGGUUAAUGUUGUCAAUGGUUAGAAGCCAAAAACAAAAUGAAAAUCUUUUUCCCCCAUGGUAUCUUAUAUCAACCCGCAUGAAAUAGUUAGUCAUGUUUCCAUUAAAACUAAUUGGGCUACAAGUUAAUAUAAUUUGGAAUUUUGGAUCCUUGUGCGUUGAUACUUCCACAAAUUAAAUCUAAUUUGCACCACAAGCACUUUGGCAUCUAACUGUACCACAAGCACUCUGGCCCAUUUGAAUCGGGCCGAUCCAAACUGGACCAAGUAGAAUAAUGCAUAGACUCAUUAGUGUAUCCACGCGUGAAACAAAAGUGUGUAGGUUUUCAAGAUAAGUGAAAGCUUAACAACCAAAUGAAACAUUGAUUAGUUUUUCCAUAUGUUUACUAUACGAUGUCAAAGUUUGUACUUAAUGAUGCAAAUCGAACCAUUUUUGCUACAAUUACUGUUUCUCUAUUCCAAUAAAAUAUAACCAUCAAGAGAUUCUUAUGGAAAACACAUUUAUUAACUCGAUGAUGUUAAGUGCUCCUUCGGCAAAGUUCCCUAAUCUAUUCUUUGUGUUCGAUAUAUGAUUCGAUAUUUCGAUUGAUCACUAAGCUCGUAUUGAGUGCCGUAACUUGAUUGUAUUCAUCUUAACUGCAAUUAUAUGCGAAUAUAGAAUAGUGAUCGAUAAAUGUCCAUACCAAUAGUACAAAAUAUAAAGGGAAACAGUACCAAACUAUAUAACUAGAGAGUGCUGUAUAUUAGUCUAAGCAAAUUGUCAUGUUCAGAUCCCAAUGGCAUAUCAAAAUACUAAUAAUUUUCUAAUUUUCUGAAAAUGUACUAAAUAUUUUCCAUAUAGAUAGAGACAUGGCAGGGAUAAAGUAUGACCAAUAAAAUUUCAUUUCUCUUCAUUUUAUAUUAUAGGUCUCGCAAAGAGUUGUUUUUGUUUUGGCGAGAAUCAUAACGCAGUUAAUUAGGCCAACCAUUUCAAACCAAAUCCGAAUUAUUUAAUGCAACACCACACCAUGGGAAUGGGUGUCACAUUCUUAUUUCUACAGAAAAUUAUUAAAUUUUUAGAAUGAUUGAUUUUUUUUUGGAAAAGUAUAAGUAUGAUUGAUUGAUACUAAGAAACUAAAAUAUACAUGUUAAACUUUUUUGGUCUCACCCGCUCGACCUUUAAAUUAGUUAAAUAUACUAAUCAAUGUACAUAAAGGUCAAUCACUAUAUGCAUCAUUAGAUAAAGGUCAAUAAAAUCAAGUCAUGAUUAAUAUACAAUUUAAGAAUCAUUAGAGUUGAUUGAAGAAAAGUUAGAUUAUUUGAAAUUUUUUUUAAUUGAAUAAUUUUGUUUAUAUCAUGUAGUCGAUUUCUAAAAGAAUUUGAGAAAAAUAGAUUAGUUGUUUCUAAUUAUGAUGCAUAGAUUGCAGUCUGCAGAUGUAUAUAGACUGUAUAUUUUUCUUGAUGUGAAAAAAAAAAUACACUAUAUACUUGUCCUUGUGAUUAAUGUUUGGGAUGGGGAUUGAUUAUAGAUCAUUCUAAAGGAUGAUGUGCCCACUACCCACAUCAAUAACGUGGUCGAAACCCUACCAACCGAAAUACACAUUUACAGGACGACUCAUUAAAUAGUGUAGGUUAAACUAUGAAGAAAAGAAGUUUCUAGCAUGCACUAUGCAAAUGAAUUAAAGAAACAGUAGAAAACCAUGUUUUUAACCGUCACGUUCACUAUAUAAACCUAGGCGACGAUAAGUGUUAUCGCAUCAACCAAAGCAAAACAUAACACAAGAAAACAAGUGGAAGCUUUGAACCGAGAGCUAGUGAGAGAGAGAGAGAGAAAUGGCAACUUCGGGAACAUAUGUCACUGAGGUUCCAUUGAAAGGAUCUGCGGAGAAACACUACAAGAGGUGGAAGAACGAGAACCAUGUUUUCCCUGACGCCAUCGGCCACCACAUCCAAAACGUCACCGUUCACGAAGGCGAACAUGACUCCCACGGCUCUAUCAGGAGUUGGAACUACACUUGGGGUACAUAUUUACUUAUAUUUCCUCUCUCUAUAUACUGUACUUUAUAGUUUAUACAUACACACACCCACACAAUUAAUUAGGGCGUAUGCGUGAAACUAGGGUUUUGGUGAUCUACUGCCAACUAUGAAUUAUGAUGGUUAAUUAAUGUAUGUUAUACAAGACAAAUAAAAUAUAACCAAUACAUAUCUUUGUGUACCAAUCUGGCAGAAGUAGUUUGAAAAUACACUUACUUUAUAUUUUUACAUUGACAAGACUAUAUUUAAAAUUUUAUAUUUUGCGUUUUUUUUUUUUGUAUUGAAAACGAACGUCAUUUUUUCUAAAAGUAAAAGUAUUGUGAAUUCAGCUCUGAUUAGGUUUGAUUCACUAUGCAUGACAUCGUGAUUUUUCAAUAACCUAUGCAGAUCUGUUCUCGACUAUUCUUUGUGAUCAUAUAGUCACAUAUUUAUCUUCUUAUAUAUAUAUAUAUAUGUUAUGACUAAGUCGGAUGUGGGAAGUUUUAACUGAUGAGCGUACAUGUGUGUAAAGAUGGAAAGGAGGAGAUGUUCAAGGAGAAGAGAGAGAUAGAUGACGAGACUAAAACGUUGACGUUGAGAGGACUGGAGGGUCACGUGAUGGAGCAGCUCAAAGUGUAUGACGUGAUCUACCAAUUUAUUCCUAAGUCUGACGAUACCUGCGUCGGCAAGAUCACUUUAAUAUGGGAGAAGCGUAACGAUGAUUAUCCAGAGCCAAGCGGCUACAUGAAGUUCGUCAAGAGCUUGGUUGCUGACAUGGACGACCACGUCAUCAAAACUUAAUCAUCGUCAUUCGUCACCAAAGUCACAGUUACCAUCCAUCAUCAUUAUCAUCACCAUCGUCAUCGUCACCAUGCAUCAUCGAUCACCACCAUUAUCACUGUCUCGAUGUAUUGUAUUGAUUAAGGUGUUUUUCAGUAUAAUAAAUGGGUCUUGUUGUGGAGUUUCAUUUCUAUGUGUACGUUUGGGAUCUGUAAGAUGCUUUGAUAUAUGUGUUGUUAUGGUCCUCAUAUAUCGGGUUCGAUAUAAUGAUUCUUAAUAAUAAGUUUACUGCAUAUUUCAAUGUUUAUUUAAUUCGAAGUUUUCAUUUAUAUACAGAUUAGUAAACAUCUAGUACCACUAUAUAAGUUAACGGUCUAGUAUUUGUGGAUUAGGCAGAUUCUGAAUAGCAAUUUAGCAAAUAAUAAGAGUAAUAAGUAUAUAUUUAAUAUUAUACACAUCUCAUUUCACCUAAAUUUCACUGCUAUACCCCCUUAGCUAGGCCAUACCUAAUCAACAUAAAUAAACCUCAGAAACAUCAUUGCUAUAUAAUUUUGAGUUGACGACCAAAAGUGGCACAACCACCAGAGAAAACAUCCUUAAUCGGACUUUGCAGUUUUACCAUUAUUAAAUCGUAUCUUCUAUACAUAAGCAGCGUUGAAUUCAAUGAUUGAUGUGUUAUGUGUACAUGAUCCGUGGCCCUAUGAAGAUGGUUUUAUUCGUUUACGAAAAAUGCAACCACUCUGAUGCAAUGGAGAUUUAUUAUUGCUCGCUUCCUACCGAACUCAAGUAACUUGACCCCACUGCACCAAUCGUAACAAAUUUGGAAUCCCGAAAACAAAUAUAAAAAAAACGAGUAUUUCUUACAACUAGCUAUAGUAAUAACCGUACUUGAGCGUGUAAGCUUAUCUUAGAAGACGUUACUUGAUACUUCUAGAUAGAGACAUAAUUAAUUAGGGUGGAUGGAUGAUCAAUGUCCCAUACUCCGAUAUGUUUUAUCAACUGCUGGUUGGAAAAUCUAUGAGCUAUUAUUAGACGUUUAACUUCCUAUCUACAUGAUCAGUCAAUUGUUAUGAUAUUUUGUUUCUUAGUCUCAGAAACUUCUAGGCAUCUGAUUAACGAAUACUACAGUCACUUCCAAGUUCGAAACAUAGAUAUUGUGAACCGUAUGAUAACAUUGGCAUAGAAAGACUUGUAAAAACAAAAACAAAGUACAACCACUUAGAGCAAAUGCAUUGGUUGGACAGCAUAUUAAUCCCAGAAUUUAUUUAUAUAUACAUUUUUUUUUUUCGAUUUUUUUUUAUAAAAAAACAUAUGUAACCAAUAGCGGACCGCCGCGUGUUAGUGGAGUCCGCGAAUAGUUAAGCACAAGCCAAAGGACCGUCCCGUUUGGAAGUACGUCCUUCUUUUUUAAUUUUUUUUUUUUUUUUUGGGUGUAAGGCGCUCAAUAAGCUGCCGAUGCAUAUGCUUUUAGAAAAAGAAUGAAUUUUUAUUUACAAAAGGUGUGUUUUCUCAGCGAUAUAUUAAUUAAAGUUUCCCACUUAUGAAAAUGAUAUGUAGUAACUAGUAACAAAGUUUCAAGAGAUAACCUUUUGGUUUUAAAACAACUAUAAAAGCUUUCGCUUUAAUGAAAUCAUAACGAAUACUUAUUUAUGAAAAUCUAAUGACUCUCAACUCUCAAGUAUAAAGUUCAUUGUUCAUUUCACUACAAGAUUCCACUUCUCUUUUGUAUUAUGCAAUUAGCGAUAUAUUCGGAAUAGCCUAUUCUAAUUCCACAUUUUAAAACAAAAUAACAAUUGACAUCCCGAUCUUGACUUUGAGUAUCCAUGCCAUCGCGACGUGGAGACCCUCUAAUACACAAUCUCCCAAUCCGACUCAUUCUUCAGUGGAUUUUUAAGACAGUUAUUAUAUAUUCACCUGCAAUUCGGAUGCUUGUAUGUUACACCCUGAUGCUUAUGAAAAUAUAAUUUCUAUUGAUCAGAACCGUAUGACGAUACAAUAUAAAAGCCACACAUGAUGCAACUCAGUAGUGUUGCAUCCGUGCAUGCGAAAUUAAAGGAUUCAUGAGGCAGCCAAAAUAGAUGGAUACAUGACACAUCACCAGCAAAGUGGUGGAUGAAGGAUAAUGUUGAUCCGAGUUUCUGACACGACAAUAUCAAUAUCAAUAACAAUAACGGAACACGUUUUAUUUAGUUUUCAAAAUUUAAAGAAAGUUUAAAAAAAAAAUAUACUAAUAAACUAGUUAUACAAAACAACGAACCAACCUUCAAAUAAAUAAAAGUUGAUUUAGUGCAUCAGUUUUCCAAACAUUUAUGUCUUUUAGAUGUGUUUUAAAUUUUUUAAUCGUUAUGUAUAUUUCUUUAUUAGCCCCCAAGUGUUAGCGGCCCAUUUGUAUCGGCUCCAAUAGAAUAACACAUUGGGCCAAAAUUAUCCAGCGUGAAACUUCCUAUUUCCUAAGACCUCUCUCACGUGCGUGAUAGAAAUCAACAACGCUCCUUUCGUGUCGUCGGAAAUAUGUUCACUGGCGUAAAGUUAGUCGGAGUUGACCAAGCCGCCGACAAACCAAAAACGCUCCUUUAAGCGCCAUGUGGUCGACCCCUAUUUCACUCAUGGGCCUUGGCCUUCUUCCUAGAUGUGGAUUCUAUCCCAUACCAAAAUCAAGUGUCAAUAUAAUCUCUGCUUUUUUUUUCCUGCUCCACUCAGAGGCACAAAUCAUGGUUCAAUCACAAGCCUACUUGCUGAUUGCUAGUUGGAGUUGUUGAUCUUUAAAAAAAAAUUAUAUAUAUAUAUAUAUAUAUAUUUAAAAAUUAUAUAUAAUUGCUAGGGCUUGUAAAACUAGUCUAAUACGUUAUUAAUAUAGUCCAAUUAAGUAAGUUAUAGCAAGUAGUAGUAUGAGUAUUUGUGCAUGAAAUUAAAGUAUAAAUUAAUGAAUGUAUCCAAUCCAAUAUUAAAGGAUCCGAAAUCACAAUGUAGUAACCCAGUUUAUAUUUCUUCUCUCUUUCAAAACACUUACGUACGUCUUUGUUCGAACAAGAAACUAAACAAAGUAUAAGACAAGAGAGUAAUAAGAGAGAGAUCAUCAGUGUUCUCUUGUAAAAAACAAAAGGAGAGAAACAGAGCAUACAAAAGAGAGAGGGAGCUGACGUGAGAUAGUGAAGUGAACAAUAUAAUACUUGGACCUCGUGAUAAACGAGUAUGGGGGGUCAAUCAUGUCUUAUGAUUAUCUUCUAAUUGUUUAACAAAAAAAAAAUGAUUAUCUUCUAAUUAAAGGAUGAUGAUGAUGUGCCAACUACCCACCCAAAUAACGUUGUCGAAAAUUAGCCUACGUACCAACUUUUGUCCAUCAAUAUUAAUGCUCUUUAUUAAUUAUAAUGGAGGGUUAAAACGAUAGGAGCAUGCACUAUCAAAUGAUAAAAAGAAACGGUGAAAACCAUGUUUUAAAAUUUUAACCGUCACGUUCACUAUAUAUAAACCUAGGCAACGACAAGUGUAAUAAAGCAUAGAAAACAAACAAACAAAACAAGUGGAAGCUUUUAAAACGAGAGAGAGAAAGAAAUGGCGACGUCGGGAACAUACGUAACAGAGGUUCCUUUGAAAGGAUCUGCGGAGAAACAUUACAAGAGCUGGAAGAGCGAGAACCAUCUUUUCCCUGACGCCAUCGGCCAACACAUCCAACAUGUCGUUGUUCACGAAGGCGCACAUGACUCUCACGGGUCUAUCAGGAGUUGGAACUACACAUUUGGUAUACUUUCUCCAUAUCUACAGUAUAUUUAGCACUUUAUUAUAAACUCACACAAUUAUAUUGGCGUACAAAAUAUGAAACUAUGACUUUGAUGAAAUAUGAUCUUUAAUGACAUUUCUGUAAAACCAAAAAAUUAACAAACACAGUUGAACAAAAGUCUGAGUUCAUAAAGUCAGCAUAUCAUCUAGAGUAAUUAGAAUUUAUUUGUCUUUUUCCUCUUACGUUAUCAGGUUGAUCUAUAUAUUAGUUCUUUUUUUUAUCCUUGAGCAUGAUUGGUUGGUCUAGUUGGCUGCAAACUGGACCUUUUGACUCUUUGAGCCACAGAGCAUGAGUGACUUAAGAUAUUUUUGAUGUCAUCCUGGAAACAUAAAUUUUUUAUUUGUAAGAUGGAAAGCCGGCGACGUUCAAAGAGAGGAGGGAGAUAGAUGAUGCGAACAAAACAUUGACGAAAAGAGGACUGGAUGGUCACCCGAUGGAGCAUCUCAAAGUGUUUGAUGUCAUCUACCAGUUUAUUCCCAAAUCCGAGGAUAGCUGCGUCUGCAAACUCACUAUGAUUUGGGAGAAGCGCAACGACGACUUCCCCGAACCAAGUGGCCUCAUGAAGUUCGUCAAGAACAUGGUUGUUGACAUUGAAGGCCACGUCACUAAAGCUUAAUCAUUAUCAUGAUCAUUACCGUCAUCAUCACCAGUCCAUCUUCAGUAUCUCGAUGUAUCAUCAAUUAAGGUGUUUUUACAUAUAAUAAAGGAGCUCUUGUGUGGAGUUUUAAAUUUGGUAUUGGAAGAUGCUUUUUAUAUGUUCAUAUUCAUAUAUCGGGUUCUGUUAUAUACAUGAUUCGGUGUUUAUGCCAUUUACAAUGUUCAUAUCUGUAUAUAGAUUUUUAUAAAACAUCUGGAGGUACUAGGUAGUAGCUAGUAUGUUUCUUUCAACUAUUAAUAACCGGCAGUACUAUAGUUGAGUGUACCUACUUGAUGAUUAAAAACUAAAUAUAGAGAUAGAAAUUAAACAGAGAGAAAGACUUUUUAAUGUUAUUAUUGAUUUAUUUCUUUACAUAUACAAUUUCUGUAAACAAACAGUAACAAAAGUUAACACAGCUCCGCUGGUACACAUCAGGUCAAGAGUUUCAAAUCUUGAGAUUGUAAUUUUGUUACAUAUUUUUUUUUUAAUUUUCUUAAAGUUAAUUGAAACGACGUGGUUUUAUGCCCAUUUUGAAUUGGAUUGGUUCUGGUACGGUUUUCAGAUUAGAUUUUAUGCCAAGACCUACUAGUGCCAGGCCCAACCCAAUUGUUGUAAUGAGUAAUGAAAGACGCAGAGCACAGUUGUUGUAACCCUAAAUUAACAAAGAUUCUCACCGGAGCUUUCGGACCAAACCAUGUGUGAUCGUGACCAACCGCAAGCCUUCUCCGUCGAAACCAUGUUCGAUACCAACUUUACCGAGGUCGAUAUGGAAGAAUUCAGGCGACAAACCACGGAACCCAUAUGCAAUACCGAAGAUGACCUUAUACAGUGCCUCCCCCCGCUGGUUUUUCACAAGUGUAAGAUCUUUCUCUCUCUCUCUCUCUCUCUCUCUAUAUGUAUAUAAUCGGAUCUAAUUUAUGAUUAAUUUUGUUUAAUCGGUGUCCGUUUUGUGUAGCUGGUAAGACAUGUGUGUUUUGGGAUGUGGAGGAUUACCCAAUCCCAGAUGGUCUCGAUGCUGCUUCGAUUUACCAGAGUAUCAAAGCGGCUGUCAAGAACUAUGGUUGUGAUGAGGAGGUGUUCAUUCAGGCUUAUGUUGGUAAUAAUACCAUCUCGGAUGAAUUCCGACGUCAAUCUUCGGAUGCUGGAGUCCGAUUCGAAGUCUUUGAGAAAUCCGGUACUGAUCUUUUCUUUUUAUAUAUAUAAUCUAAGAUAAGAUGUUGUUGUUGAUAUUACUUGCCUACUUACACUUUGCAGGGGAUCAAUAUGGGAGACAUUGUUCCAUAUAUGGUGACGUUAUGUUGUGGACACUGGAAAAUCCUACACCAUCAAAUGUGAUUAUAGUCGCAAAAAUAAUCGACUACGACUUUGGUUUUGCUUUUAGAUGUUUGUCUGACUCCUGGUCGUAUGGUGUUCUCUUAUCCCAAGAACCUAAUCCAAUAUGGCGAUUUCCUGUUGGAAGCGCACCCACGUUUUUGGCAAGCAUAUUUGAUAGGAGCUCACCUAGAUUACCAACAUUGGCGAUUUCAUUGCCGAACGUUAGCGGCAGCGGAUAAUACUGUGAUUUAAGCCCCGUGACAGGAUACUCUGGCUGAUUCCGAGGACUAACUUUGUGUGCGCCCUUGCAAAUCUAUCUCUCCUCAAGGGAUGCUCUAUGCAUUAUGUGUUGGUGAUGUUAUAUAUAUUAGUUAGAUAUGAAGCUUUUGGAUUUGUCUAUCUAUCAUAUAUUAUUGUCUAUCUAUCAUAUAUAUUUGCUUUUGGACAUCUUUAUCUGACCAUCAUCGACGUAAACUGUGGUUGCAUCAUACAAGAGUUAAAAAAAAAAUCAAUCGUGAGUACUUGUGCUUGGGACUUGGAUAAGCGGAAGAUGUUGAAAUUGGAGGUAAAGAUAGGCGUUGAGUGAACAAUACAGGCAAAGAUAGAAGAAGAAGCAAGCAUCAUUCAUAUAUGGAACAAACUAACAAAGGUUAUGAAUAUGACUUAGGUCUUACUAUUUUAUUAAUUACUUCAAAGCGAAUCAUAAAGGUAGCAAUAUCGUAUUGUAUUGGGUUCCUUAUACGUCAUCUCUUAUUAUCGUAACCAAUAAAAAUAUAGUAUUAUGCUAUGUCAUGCCGAAAAUCUAAACCGCCAAAAAACUUGCCAACGAGGCUUGGCCCAUUGACAGACAACUUUGGUAGUAAACGUGUAACCUGCUGUAACCCUAAAUUCACAAAUUCCCUCAUCAGCCACCACUCUAAGAUUGAGCGUUCCAACGGAAAGGCAGCAUCUCUGAUCCUCUCGAAAGCUUGGCACGACGUAACUAUGUACACCAAAUUGUUUCCUCCGCUGACCGACUGGAAAUCCCGCUGUAAGAUUUCUCGAAAUUUAUUAUAUGAUAUCUGGAUUUAUUUUAUUUGUAGCGAUCUUGUUUUUUUUGUUUAAAACGUAAAUUGCUUAAAUUCGUACCUUGAUGUUAAAACCUGGAUUGUGCAGUCACUAACGUAUUAGUCGUAUGGGAGCUGGAGAAUUACAUAAUCCCAGAAGGUCUCGAUAUUCGUUCGACUCUUGAGAAAAUCAAAGCAGUUAUUGCCAAGGAGGAGGGUCUUAGGAGUAGGAACGUCAACAUCUGGAUUUUCGGUAGUGCUGACAAUUCAUGGUUGAAUGCAUUGAAGGAAGAAUAUUCGACAACCAAAGAUAGAUUCCAUGUCUACAGAGGUGCUCUCUCUAUCUAAUCCAAUUCCUUCUCCUCUAAAACUUGAUCUAUCUUAUUAUAUACAAACCCUCCAUAUAAUCUCUAUACUAUAUUUGCAGGGGAUCAACGUGCCAGAUUUAAUAGGAUUAUAGCGAACAUUGCUUUCUGGUCAUUCAACGUGAAAAGUCCAAUAAAUUUGCUGAUACUCUCAGAAAACAUGGCUCAGACGGAACAAGACCCCAAAUUCUGCAGAUUUCGUCUUUCUUUACAGAAGAGAGGUUUCAGUGUUGCCUCAGCCCACCCUUCGACUCUCCUUAACCAACAAACGGAGCCACUAGUUGCUCCCCCAUCUCGGUUCCCUGAAUUCAUCUGUACCACCUGCACCAGUAAAGAUGAUAAAGCAUGAUGAUUUCAAUGCUGGUGAAGAUGCUGAAGCAGUUAGAGCAAUUAUAAAUUUCAUGGAACGACCCCAACUUAAUUAAUUAACCUGUAUUUUGUUCUAUAAAUCGGUGAAAUAUUGUAUGAUAACUAGUGCGAGAAAUAUUUUCUUUGUAAUUUAUGUUUUAAAAAUUUGUUAGAUUUUGUUUGAGAUUAUUUAAUGAUUAUCAAAACUACAUUAUAUCAGGGCUUCAACAGCUUCAACAACUCUUUUUUCCAGGUCUGAACUCUUUGAUUGCUUUAAGCUUGAAAGACAAUCUGAACAUGUUUGAGCCCACAACAUUGAUGGAGAACCAGGAAAAACCAAUCAGAAGUAGAAAAUCAGGAUUUUUCAGGAGAUAAUUAUAGAAUUGAAAAGGCUUUUUCUGUCUUGGCUGGGCAGAAAAAAGGGAGAUCGAACUUGGAGAGUGUCUUGGAUUGACUCGCCUUUUAUUCCACCAAGUGAAGGAACACCCCUGAAAGAACGUAUCGUUGUGAGUUCAGCUCCUAGGGUGUGAUGCACUAGCUAUGUGAUCAUAAUCACAUAUAUAUCGGAUAUUGAAGCUUUUAUUUAUUUACAUUUAGUAUGAAACAGUAAAAUAUUUGUUUAUCUGAUUCGGUUUGUAGAUAGCCAAUUAAUUUGGACCCUGUAAGCAUUCAUGUUUCUUCAUUAGCCCCCAAGUUUUUUAAUUGGCCCAUUUAUAUCAGAUAAAAUAGAAUCAUGUAUAAGCCCAUUACUGAUCCAUCCGCGUUACUGGAGAAGUCUCACUUCCGACACGACGUGCUCGGUGCUCUUUCUCGCCGGUGUUGUCGUCGUCGUUGCUCACUGGUCAGUCGUUGAUCCGCUUUUUUUUUUUUUUCCUCUUUCUGAGCUUUGAUUGUUUAAGGAAUUUAAAUAUAUUUGAGAUUCGUUCUCCAUGGACGUACUAGAUUCUUAAGGACUCAUCACUCGAAAGUGAAAACUAGAUAUACAUUUUUGAACAAAUUUUGAUUUUCUUGAGCAAGUAAGUAUACACAUACGUUUGAAAUCUCAAGUCUUUGAAAACUAGAUAUACAUUUUUGAACAAAUUUUGAUUUUCUUGAGCAAGUAAGUAUACACAUACGUUUGAAAUCUCAAGUCUUUGUUUCUUGCAGGCAACAAUUUACUCCCAAAGAUGGCGUUUUUUGGGCUCUUCCGUGUUUCUCGACGGUUGUUGAGAUCCUCCGUGUCGGCAACUCCAUCUUCUUCCUUUGCUGUUUUGCAGUCACAACAUAAAUCCUUGUCCAAUCCUGUGAAUACCCAUUGCACAAAUCCUUUCACUAAGUGUUACCCUUCAUGGAAUUAUAACUAUCAAGUAUGGAGUAAAGGGAGGGAAUUGCAACAGGAGAAGUUUCUUGGUGUUGGCUGGAACUAUAGAUUAGUUAGUGGAAUGUCCUCGUCCUCUUCAGUUAUGGAGGGAAAGCCUAAGAAAGAUGACAAGGAGAAGAGUGAUGUCGGUGGUGUUAAGGAAGCUUCUUGGAUAGAUUUGUAUUUACCACAAGAUGCUAGAGGUUAUGCUAAGCUUGCUCGAUUGGAUAAACCCAUUGGUACGUGGUUGCUUGCUUGGCCCUGUAUGUGGUAAGUUCAUCUUCUCUGUUGAAUAAUGGAGUCUAGAAUCAAGACAUUUCACUUUUAAGAUUCAUUAUAAUUCAUAAGAAAGAAUAGCUGAGGGAAAGAAGACUGCGAGUUUAUACAGUUUCUUUUCAUCACAAAGGAUGGUUUAUGUUAAGUCAGAUCACGUCAAAUUUAGUUUUAUGUGAUCAAGUCAUGUGUUUUCCUGGUUGGUUUGGCUGUGAUGUUUUCCGACUGACUUGCAAGUUGAAGCACAGUUAUAAAAGAAAUUUUGUCAAGUUUUUUUGUUGGUAGACUUCAUUUCAGUGGAGAAAUUCUUGUAGUCUGUUAUUGUUAGAUUUUCUCUGUUACUUUUUGUUUUUAGUCUUUAAUCAUAUUGAUCCUCUCAACAACUCAUAGGCAAUUAAUUAGUAUGAUUUUGAGCUGAGAUCUUUGAUAGCAUGGCAGAGUGUCUUUGUGGUUAAGGAUUGGCAGAAAACAGGGUGGAUGGAAAAUGCUACUAACCUGAUUUUUCUUGAAUCAUUAAUAUUACAGUACUAUUAAUUUACACUGGGUUUCCAGAGAUAAGUGAAUAGAUCGUAAGUCUGAUCUCCAUCAUUGUUACAUAGGUCGAUUGCGUUGGCCGCUGAUCCUGGAAGCCUUCCAAGUUUUAAAUAUAUGGCUUUAUUUGGUUGCGGAGCACUACUUCUUAGAGGUGCUGGCUGUACUAUAAAUGAUCUGCUUGAUCAGGACAUAGAUACAAAGGUCAGUUUGUUUUUAUGCUAUCCUAUGGUAUGGUGAUAAAGACAAGUGAUGUAAAAUAUAUAUAUCCCUUUGUCUGUUGGUUAAGAAACUUGUUUUGUAUAACUAUGGUUUCUGUGGCCAUGGUGGGAAAUUGUUUGUGCUUUGACUGACAGCUGGAAGUGGUCUUGAUGCUUGUAUGUCGGAUCAAUUUACGCAAACAUUUUCAGUCACAUUUAUGUUUUGGGUAUAUAGUUCAUCUGCAUGUAUUGGCAACUUUGUUACAAAAGUGAAAGUAUUCAGGUAUUAGAUGUGGUGAAGGUGGAAUAUUUUUUUCAAUUGAAAUAUGUGUUAGUUGAUAGGGGAGCUAAACAGCAUUCAUGUAACUUGAUUCAUUUUUCCACAAACAAAGAUGGGUUGCUUGUGAGUAAAUUAAGAAUAUUUGAGGCUCAAGAUUUUAUUUGAUUGUUUUAUUUUAGAUUACGUUGUCUUACACUUUUUUAUCCAGGUUGAUCGUACAAGAUUAAGACCUAUCGCCAGUGGUCUUUUGACACCAUUUCAAGGGAUUCAAUUUCUUGGGAUACAGUUGCUUUUAGGCUUAGGGAUUCUUCUCCAACUUAACAAUUACAGGUUUGUUUGGAAUUUUUAUGUGCCUGAAGUCAAUUAUUUGCAGGUGUUUGUUUAAAAUUCACCCAGGUGUAGUUGGCCCAAAUUAUGAACAUAUUGUCAUGACUUCCCUUUACUUUUGUGAUUCAUUUCUUUUUCUACUUGAGCUCAUUUCAGUAUUUAUAUUCUGCAGCCGUGUUUUAGGGGCUUCAUCUUUGUUACUUGUUUUCUCCUACCCACUUAUGAAGAGGUUUACAUUCUGGGUAAUUUACAUCCAUUUUGGCUUCUCAAAGUUAGACAUUAUAAUUUUUCUCGGUCCCUUUUGAUCAUUCUAUUUUGUAAUUGCAGCCUCAAGCCUUUUUAGGCUUGACCAUAAACUGGGGAGCAUUGCUAGGAUGGACUGCAGUUAAAGGAAGCAUAGAGCCAGCUGUUGUACUCCCUCUCUAUCUCUCCGGAGUUUGCUGGACCCUUGUUUAUGAUACUAUUUAUGCACAUCAGGUAUAUUCACUUUAUUUUCAGCUCAAAAUCUAUUUGAUUACGACCAAUAGCAAAGUAGUCCAUCUCAAUGUGCGCAUAUUUUCCGCUUUUCUUCCCUGUCUCAUGCAAAUGUAUCCAUUUUGAUGUUCAACUUUUGUCUAAUGGCAAUCAUAAAGAAGAGAAUUACCCCGCUCUCCACAUUUUCCAUCUGAUAUCUACAAUUUAAGUGAAGAAUGAGCACCAUAAAAGUCUUCCUAUUUGCAACAGAAGUGGAAAGGAAAGUUACCUUGUAGCCCACUGAAAAAUGAAAUAGGAUUUCAGUCUUCUUUUGAUAUAGUAUAUGCCACUAGUUACGAAUCCAAAAUUUCAGCUAAAGUUCAGGUGUUAUGCAAGUAGAUAUUCUAGAGAUUAAUCAUUUUUUUUUUUCAUGAGCUAAUGUGUAUGAAUCUAUUGUGUCUUCAGGACAAGGAAGAUGAUAUAAAAGUUGGUGUUAAGUCAACAGCUCUUAGGUUCGGUGAUAAUACAAAGCUUUGGUUAACUGGAUUUGGCACAGCAUCCAUGGGAUUUCUUGCGCUUUCUGGACUCAGUGCAGAUCUUGGUACUCAAUAAGCUUUACAAGGGUUCUUUUGUGAUUCCUAAUUCCAUUUACCGUCUUUUGACUCUUUUUUCCGUUUCUCGUUCUUAAUGAUUAAGGGUGGCAAUAUUACGCAUCACUGGCUGCUGCAUCAGGGCAGCUAGGAUGGCAAAUAGGGACAGCUGACUUAUCAUCUGGUGCUGACUGCAGUAGAAAGUAUGAAAAUUUGAGUUUUGCCUUUGUACUCUUUCUCAAUCCAGGAUUUGCCUUGGAAACUAAUACUUUCUGAGUUUUGAUGUUUGUACAGAUUUGUUUCAAACAAGUGGUUUGGUGCUAUCGUAUUUAGUGGAGUUGUACUUGGAAGAAGUUUUCAAUAGAGACUCUCUCUAUUUCUCUCUCUGUUAAUGAAUGAGGAUGAAGCUAUAAUGUGAGUAUCCUAUUUAUGAAGAAUUGAAGUAUACUUUUAAGACACAGCAAGUGAAACAGAGGACAUGGCCUUGCUUCAAAGUGGUCUCCUACAGGAUCGAAAAGCUGAUGGAACCAUUGCCAGAUAAGCUGAAACUUAACUCUAUUAGAUUAGUUUAUGAUUCUGGUAAAAGGAGCUGUUGUUGUUGUUUGGGAUCUAUUUCUUUUGUUUCCAGGAGACUUGUUGUGUCUGCAAUGUACUCAUUCAAAGUGUUGACAAGAGUAAUGAGCAAAACCUUCUGGUCAAGCUAGAGGUUUUCCUUUUGUCUUUAUAGUUGACCUACGUAAUUGACUUGUAAUGUAAAUGACUAGAGGCUAAUUCAUUAACAUUGAAUUAGCCGUGUGAUUUGGAAAGUGGAAACAUCAUUUAGAGAAGAUUUCCUUAUUCAUUAAUUUAUCAUCCAAUGAGGCAAAUAAUAUUAGUAACACGCGGUUUAAUUGCUCCAACUUACACCAAUAAAAAGAGGCCACGUUGUCAGCAUCUCCGUGUUCGAUCUCGGACAUAAAAUAAAAAGCCAUAAGAAUCGGAGAUUUGUUCUUUCUCUCUCGAUUGACUUUAUUGACUGAGAGAAAGCUUCUGAACAAAUGGGACACAGACACAGCAAGUCCAAAUCCUCCGAUCCACCAUCGUCCUCCUCCUCUUCCUCCGACAACGUAGUCCACCAUGUCCGACCUUCCGGAGAACGCCGUGGAUCCUCUGGUUCCGGAACCGUCGGAUCGUCAGUCUCUGGAACCGGCGGAUCUCGCUCCAACACAUCUACUCAGCAGAAUGGUCGGAUCUUAGGUCGACCUAUGGAGAACGUUAAGGGAACCUACGAGUUCGGUCGUGAGCUAGGUCGUGGCCAGUUCGGUGUCACCUAUCUUGUUACUCACAAAGAGACCAAGCAACAGUUCGCUUGCAAGUCAAUCCCUACGCGCCGCCUUGUCCACAAAGACGACAUUGACGAUGUUCGCCGUGAAGUCCAGAUUAUGCACCAUCUAAGUGGCCACCGGUAAAACUUUUUUUGAUUUUAUGGUAAAUUGAUUCUUUUGGGAUAUUCUGAAAUGGAACCUAAAACGCCUUUUUAUUGAACACUAUUGGUGAAUGCUAGGCUAGAACCAAUGCGCAAGUCUCCUAUGAGAUUAAUGUUUAUAUUAAUGAGUGGUUUGCAUCAUAUGUGGAUGAAAUGUUUGGUGGUCCUAUGUUAAACUAUUGAAAAUGUUUCCAAUUUAGUUUCAUGUUCCCCUUUUUGCGUAUUUACCUGAGUUUCAAGUUUGUGAGUGGUUUGUAGGAACAUAGUGGACUUGAAGGGAGCCUACGAGGACAGACACUCUGUGAAUCUCAUAAUGGAGCUGUGUGAAGGAGGAGAAUUGUUCGAUAGGAUCAUAGCUAAAGGUCUUUACUCAGAGAGAGCUGCUGCGGAUUUGUGCAGGCAGAUGGUGAUGGUUGUGCAUAGUUGUCAUUCUAUGGGUGUAAUGCACCGAGACUUGAAGCCCGAGAACUUUCUCUUUCUUAGUAAAGAUGAGAACUCCCCAUUGAAAGCUACAGACUUUGGCCUCUCGGUCUUCUUCAAGCCAGGUUAGGAAACAGGCUAGAGACUUUCCCCAUUGUUGCUGUAGUUUAUUAGUGGUGUAAUUUCUGCAUCCAGAGUGAAUCUAUCUCCCUAAUGAAGUUGAUUUUAUUAAUGCAGGAGAUAAGUUUAAAGAUCUUGUUGGAAGUGCAUACUAUGUUGCCCCAGAAGUUCUAAAACGAAACUAUGGACCAGAGGCUGAUAUCUGGAGUGCCGGUGUAAUUCUAUACAUCCUUCUCAGUGGUGUCCCGCCUUUUUGGGGAGGUAUUGCUUUGAUCUUUCUUAAGAAGAGAAUUUGGCUGCACUGUUUAAAUGGUUGGACCGUGAAUGUAUAGUCACCUGUCUAUUUUUUUACUGUUAUGCAGAAAAUGAAACGGGGAUCUUUGAUGCCAUUCUUCAGGGGCAGCUCGAUUUUUCAGCUGAUCCGUGGCCAGCACUAUCUAAUGGUGCCAAAGAUCUUGUAAGGAAAAUGUUAAAAUAUGACCCUAAAGAACGGCUUUCAGCUGCUGAAGUGCUAAGUAAGACCCUUCAUAACAUGUUUUGAUGAAUAAAAUUAAUGACAACACCGUAUUUUGAUCCAACAUUAACAUGUUUUACUAUAUACACAGAUCAUCCGUGGAUGAGAGAAGACGGGGAGGCAUCAGACAAACCACUUGACAAUGCUGUGUUAUCGAGGAUGAAACAAUUCCGGGCGAUGAACAAACUCAAAAAAAUGGCCCUGAAGGUAAUAAGAACAUUGAUUGAAACUGUCUGAUCAUCCCCAUCAUACUUAGUCUUGUUCUAAAGCCAAUCUCCGCUUUUCGUUUUGCAUUUCAGGUUAUCGCUGAGAACCUUUCCGAAGAAGAAAUCAUUGGUCUUAAAGAGAUGUUCAAAUCUCUAGACACUGACAACAAUGGAAUAGUCACUUUGGAGGAAUUGAGAACCGGUCUCCCCAAACUUGGUAAUAAGAUCUCUGAGGCUGAAAUAAGACAGCUAAUGGAAGCAGUAAGUGUAUCUCAACCUGCUACUUUGAUGUCGAAUCUUGAGUGCUUCCCCUUGCAAAACACAAAACUGAGAAAGCUUAUGAUGUUUUCAUUUAGGCUGAUAUGGAUGGAGAUGGAUCAAUUGACUACUUGGAGUUUAUAUCAGCCACAAUGCAUAUGAACAGAAUCGAACGUGAGGACCACUUGUACACUGCUUUCCAGUACUUUGACAAUGACAACAGCGGGUAAAACAAUAUCCUUUAGCUCUCUCCUUUCUCUGUUUAACAAGCUAUAAAACUCACACUCUUUGAUCAUGAUUUGUGUGAUAUCAGCUACAUAACAAUGGAAGAACUAGAGCAAGCCAUGAAGAAAUACAACAUGGGUGAUGAUAAAUCCAUCAAAGAGAUCAUUGCUGAAGUAGACACCGAUCGUGUAUGUGUUAUACAUUUAUCUUUAGUUUUGGUCCAUUCAAAGAGUUUUAUCAUUUGUGAUCCUAACACUCUCUUCUCUAUAUUCAACAUCAAUAGGACGGAAAAAUCAACUACGAAGAAUUCGUAGCAAUGAUGAAGAAGGGAAAUCCAGAAUUGGUGACAAACCGACGCAGAUGCAAGUAAAAAACGUUGGAGCCUGGAGGGUAGUAUUAACACAAUCUUUCUCCUUGUUACACAAGAGAGAUCUUUUGAUGUUUCUUCUAUUUGGUUCCCUCACUUUUACUUAGCUUUGUGUUGUUGUUGUUGUUUCUGUUACAACUACACUAUUUUGUUUCCUGCAAUCUCUUUUAUCAACAAAACAUAAUAUGCGUUUGGAUUUAAAAAACCCAUUUGCAGGUUUGUUUCAUGAGAGAUUCAACAUAUAAAAAAUAUUCCCAUGAUUUAAUGUUCAAAUCUACAUAGAAAAUUAUAAUCCCAAUCCUGUACCACAUGUCCUCGUACUAGAGGCAUUAUGAUAAAAGUGAAUAGAAAUAAAUAAAAUAAACGAAUAAAACCAACUGUGAAGAAAAAAAAAAAAAAAAAGAGGAAGAAGGAGAAGGACCGCGAGCUUUGGAUCGAAUCCGUUAAAAAUUUCUCGACUCGAUAAUAAAAACAACAAACAAAUGAUCAUCAUCGACAGCUUUCCUCUAGAUUCGAUUCCGAUUCAUCUUCCAAGGAAUUAGUCUCCGGCGUGUGUCUUCUCUGAUCGUUAACGAUCCUCUUCCAAGCGACAGCCGCAUCUUACUCGCCGGCGGCUUGAAUCAUGGUAUGUUAACUCCAGCUUUUUUUUCUUCCUUUAGCUCGACCGAUACGUCUGCAAUCUUAAACCCCUACCUUCCUUAUUGUGAUCUCGAUAGAAAAUCUGAAAUGAAUGAUGCAACCAUAUUCAUUGAAAUUUGUGAGAGUAUUGAAAUCUGAGUCAAUGUCACUGCUGAAAGUAAAUUACUGUAAAUGAUUAUUUUCAGUGCAUCUCUGAGUUUUUGAUCUGAUUUUCACGAUGUAGUAGUUUCAAUCUGGAAUUUUAGGCUUCUUCAUGGAUUAUCCUCAUGUAAAUAUUAGCCAGCAUCUGCGUGUAUGUGUAUGUGUUAAGAGUUUUGCUAGAAGUGUGAUGUUGUCUUCCUCUUGAAUCAGGCUGAUAGGAGAAACAGGUGUAACCAGGUCCUCCUUCUAGCAUAUCAGAGUUUUGGCUUAGUGUUUGGAGAUUUGAGUAUUUCUCCUCUCUAUGUGUAUAAAUGUACAUUCUACGGAGGAUUGAGACACCAUCAAACAGAAGAUACCAUAUUUGGCGCGUUUUCUUUGAUAUUUUGGACCAUAACUCUCCUUUCACUCAUCAAGUACAUGGUUUUUGUAUUAAGUGCAGAUGACAAUGGUGAAGGUAUGUGCAGUGGUUUCUAAGUGAAUCCCUUUUUUUUCUUUCUUCGGAUACUUGGGUUAGGAUGUAAAAUUUGGGUUUCUGUUGCAGGAGGGAUAUUUGCUUUGUAUGCUUUGCUCUGUAGACACGCAAGGUUUUCUUUGCUUCCUAAUCAGCAAGCUGCUGAUGAGGAAAUCUCCACAUACUAUGGCCCUGGUGAUGCAAGUAGAAAUUUGCCUAGUUCUGCUUUCAAAAGCCUUAUAGAACGAAAUAAGAGAUCAAAAACAGCUUUGCUUGUUUUAGUCUUGGUAGGAACUUCCAUGGUAAUAACCAUCGGUGUCCUUACACCAGCAAUUUCAGGUAAUUAGUCGAACCUUUGUUUAGCUUCUGUCUGGUCGUAUAGUACGUUACCAUUUUUAUUUUUUCCAGGGUUUAGCAUCUAACAUUAUCUUCUUGUAGUCUCUUCAUCUAUUGAUGGCCUUGUGGCCAAGACAAGUUUGAAGCAUAGUAAGUAAUGUUUGCUAUUAUCUUUAUACUUGCGUAUCUUGAUUAUAUAUGUUUACAACAUUCCCUCAUUGUUAUUUAUAUAUCUUUUUACCAAUGUGUUGCUUUCCUAGGUACUGUGGUUAUGAUAGCAUGUGCUUUGCUGGUUGGGCUUUUCGUUCUGCAGCACCGUGGCACAAAUAAAGUUGCCUUUCUAUUUGCACCUAUUAUGAUUUUGUGGUUGUUGAUAAUCGCAACUGUUGGUGUGUACAAUAUUGUGACUUGGAACCCCAGUGUAUACAAAGCCUUAUCUCCCUACUAUAUCUAUGUAUUCUUUAGAGACACGGGAAUAGAUGGAUGGCUGUCCCUUGGAGGCAUUCUUUUAUGUAUCACAGGUAAUAUGGUCAUUUAUGUUCCGAAAAUCGACUCAAUAAGUGUUAAUUAUAUAUUAUGUCUCAUCUUGGCAAUUUGUCUACUUUCAGGAACGGAGGCUAUCUUUGCUGAACUUGGCCAAUUUACAGCUACAUCUAUAAGGGUAUGUGAAGAAGCUUAUUUGGUUCUUUCAAUCAUGCUGCAGUAACCAGUAGAGAGAAUAUUUAUAGCAGCUCUUAAGGAAUUGUUGUACAAAUACUAUAAGGAUUUUUGUUGCUAGAACAAUCCAUAAGCAAUUGGUCAUAUUAGGGAUGUUCUUGACUCAAGGAAUUAGAAAAAAUAUGAAACACAAUUAGAAUCUGGUUAUAGUUAUUGUUAUUUGAUGGCCUCUUUUGUUGGCUACUGAAGAUGAAGAAACAAUAACAUUUUGCAAUCUUAUGAUUCUUUGCAGUUUGCGUUUUGUUGUGUUGUUUACCCAUGUCUGGUGCUUCAAUACAUGGGCCAAGCUGCGUUUCUGUCAAAGAAUUUUUCUGCUCUACCUUCAAGCUUUUAUUCUUCCAUUCCAGGUAAUAAAUUGGUCAAUUUCCUUGUCACGUCUCUUUCCUUUACCCUAAGUCCUCCAAUUUUUGAGAAUUCCACUGCAAGUUCCAAAGUACUACAAUUUCUCAAAUGUAUGUACCUGACCUUUCAGUGUUUGGGAUGUUUUAGUGGUGGAUUAUGUCCAUGAUGCAUGUCUAGAUCCAAAGUUUCGAGUUUAUUAUUAAAUUCUGCAAGUACAUAUUAUGACAAUUCAUUCAUGCGCUCCUCUUUACUUGUGUAGUUUGCCAUAUGUUCAUGUGUUUUGUUCUUGUUCUUCAGAUCCAUUUUUCUGGCCGGUUCUCAUGAUGGCUAUGCUGGCUGCAAUGGUCGCAAGCCAAGCAGUCAUAUUUGCCACGUUCUCGAUUGUCAAACAAUGUUAUGCAUUAGGAUGCUUCCCACGAGUGAAGAUUGUUCACAAACCAAGAUGGGUCCUUGGCCAAAUUUACAUUCCUGAGAUCAAUUGGGUUGUCAUGAUCCUCACCCUCGCUGUCACCAUUUGUUUCCAAGACACUCGACACUUAGCUUUUGCUUUUGGUAAGGGCUUAACCUUUCAUCAGACUCAUAAUUUCUAUCUUUAUCAUCAAACCUAAUCCUUUGUUCUCCAGGGCUUGCCUGCAUGACUCUAGCCUUUGUGACAACUUGGUUGAUGCCUCUCAUCAUCAACUUUGUCUGGAACCGUAAUAUUGUCUUCUCUGUCCUCUUUAUCCUCUUUUUUGGGACCAUAGAACUUGUCUUCGUCGCGUCAGCCUUAGUCAAAAUCCCUAAAGGAGGCUGGAUCACUCUCCUUCUUUCCCUCUUCUUCACUUUCAUCACAUAUGUAUGGCAUUAUGGCAGCAGAAAGAAGUACCUAUGUGACCAGCACAACAAGGUCCCUAUGAAAUCAAUCCUAAGUCUCGGCCCGAGCCUCGGGAUCAUCAAAGUCCCAGGGAUGGGUCUUAUCUACACCGAGCUCGCCAGUGGUGUCCCUGCCACAUUUACUCACUUUCUAACAAACUUACCGGCAUUCUAUCAAGUUGUUGUCUUUGUCUGCUGCAAAACUGUCCCUAUCCCGUAUGUACCACAGAAAGAGCGAUACCUUAUUGGCCGGAUUGGACCAAAAACGUACAGGAUGUACCGUUGCAUUAUCCGAGCUGGCUAUAAAGACGUGAACAAAGAUGGAGACGACUUUGAAGACGAGCUGGUGAUGAGCAUUGCUGAGUUUAUUCAGCUAGAAUCUGAAGGCUACGGCGGCUCAAACACUGACCGAUCCAUCGAUGGCCGGCUCGCUGUUGUGAAAGCCUCAAACAAGUUUGGGACAAGGCUGUCUCGGUCUAUAUCCGAGGCCAACAUCGCAGGUAGCUCGAGAUCACAGACAACUGUAACAAACAGCAAAUCUCCAGCUCUGCUUAGACUGAGAGCAGAGUAUGAGCAAGAGCUUCCGAGGCUGAGCAUGAGAAGGAUGUUUCAGUUCAGACCAAUGGACACUAAGUUCAGGCAACCUCAGGUGAAAGAGGAGCUGUUUGAUUUGGUGAACGCCAAGGACGCGGAAGUGGCUUACAUUGUUGGGCAUGGUCAUGUGAAGGCGAAGCGGAACUCGGUUUUUGUGAAACGGCUAGUGAUAAACGUUGCUUACUCGUUCUUGAGGAAGAAUUGUCGGAGCCCAGGCGUGAUGUUGAAUAUUCCUCACAUUUGUUUGAUCAAAGUGGGCAUGAACUAUUACUUGUGAGUCUUUGUUACUGAUAUUUCUGUGAGAGUUUUGUGGUUCAGAGUAUUCUAAAUUUGGAUAUGAUGUUUUCAUUUUUGUAAUAUUUAUAGUUUACUGAUAUUCUUAUAUAUCUGGUUACUUUUGUGUUGCUGAUAACUCAUGACUCAGUCUAAUGUAGAAAAGUCAAAAUGUAAAUAAAGGUUAAACAUAACUCUGUACAGGACCUACUACAGGUGAUAUCUUUUUGAGCAGAAUUUCAAAAUAAAAAAUAAACAAUAUUGUCAGAAGUGGGAUUUGAACCCACGCCCUCUCACGAGGACCAGAACUUGAGUCUGGCGCCUUAGACCACUCGGCCACCCUGACUUAUUGCAUAUUCUUUCACUAAGUAGAUAUAUAGCUAGAGUAAACAAGCUAGAUGAUUUUGUUUCCCUACCCGCGUUACUUUCUUGCAACAAAGUUCACCAAACACCCGGGAAGAGCCAUGCUAUAACCACCGAAUACUGUUUAGAAAGAUCUGGACCGUUCUAUAUUCCUCGCCAAUGGAUGAAGAGGUAGUAAGAUACUGUAAAGUGUGAACGUAUAACUGUAUAAGCUUCUUCGAAGCUAUCAGUUUAUUACUUCCGAUACAAUGGUUCUACUUAUGGAUAUAACAAAAGAAGAGAAUAUGAAUAAACAAAAACAGUAAACAACACAAGAUUGCAAAAUUCAAAUAUCGUGAAAUUCUUAGUUAUAUAGAGGCUUAAAGAGAGAAACAUCACUACUUAUAUCCCUCGACGCUGAUCAACAAUGACAUAAACAACAAAAACAAAGCAGUCAAGGAAAUCCCAUGUUCAUUCACAUAAAAGAGUCGCCUAAAAAACCGACCAAAACACAUAAAACUUCGAUAUCAUUUCACAACACCCCUUUGCUAGCCACGGGCAACCUUUGUGUAAACCUAAUCUUUCUUCUUGUUCUUCAAGGGGCCGAGAGGGAUCUUGCUCAACACCUUCUCAUCCAACACUGCAUACUGCUUCUUGAGUUCAAUCACCGCUUUCUCACCUAAUGGGUCAACUUUGUCUUCAUACUUGUCAUAGGCAAGAGGAACCGUGAAGAGCAGUACAAGAGCUGUUGCAGCAAAAUAAGAUUUAGUCAUUCAGCUUGCAGUGAGAUAAUAGAAAGGAAAGCAAUAAGUGGAUGGAAGAUUAAGCAUUACCUAUGUAUGCCAAUGUCAAGAAGUUAAAGCAGCCACCCAAGAUUGAGAGAACCCAUAACCCAGCAAUAGCCUAUCCAAUCCAAUGGUGCAUUGUCAAAGAUCAGGGUAAACAGAGAAAGUACCAAGUCCCAAAUAGUUUUUAAUAAGCACACUUGAACUUACAAUGAGGAACUUCUUGAGAUCCCUUCCAGAUGCAAUUUCACGGAGAGAAGAGAAUCCACGGUUGAUCUCAAUUCUGAGCCCAGAUGCAAGUUGAAGAAUAGGCUCUUCAGGGAUAUGAACUUCAGGAAUCUUUGGUGGGGACCUGAGAGAAAAUCAAUUGUUAGCAAUGCACAAGUGAAAGAUCUUAAACUAAUUCGCAUAAAACGCAUCUCCGAAAUAUUAACAAUUCAUUAGAUUGAUCACUAACUUACUUGUUAAUGAACAUGGUGGCAUUAGACCACAGAAACAGUACAGCAAGAACAACAAUCAUCACGUGGCAGAGUAGAGUGAGAAGAUGGUACUCCAUCAAUUCAAACAAAACCCAUGCGGCUGUAGCAGCACCAAGUACACCACCAGACAUCUUCUUGUUCUUCCACAUGAAUAUAUCAGCCGCUGCAAAUAUGAAGACAAAUCAAUUUGUGCAAACAUUACAUAUAUCGUUCAUUGAAUCAAGCAAAUUAGAAAAACAUUGAACUUGAUACACUAAAACACUACUAUCAAGUUAAAGUUUCUAAAUCAAGAUAAAAGCCAUAGCAUCAAAAGCAAUACAACCCCCCAUUUCUAUGAUCAAAAGCAUUCAUUUUGUGACACUAAACCCUCAAAACAAAUGCCAAAAUAAAAGAACCACAAAACCAAAUGAACACAAUGGUCAAUACAGAUCAACGAGUAUAAUAAAAACCCUAAGCUAACACGAUGCUCGCUGCAAACAAGCUAUGCAGAUUCAAAAACACGAAUCGCACCAUCUCAAGGAAACCUAAUCCCAAAAUGAGACAUCAAAACAAAAGAAUCAACCAAACAACACACAUCAGAAACAGAUCAAACCAAAUCAACAAAACCAUAUUAAAAAAAAAAACUCGAUGAGAAAAAAAAAAACAGAUCGGAAAAAAACUUACGCUUCCCACCACCGAGAACCUUAUGCACAGGCUUCUCCCUACCGAACAAGCGGUAAACUUUCGAUUGCAUAGACGAAGGAGAAGACGGCUUCUUCUUCUUCUUCUUCUUAUCGUCGUCAUCAUCAGACGAUGAAGAUGAAGAAGAAGAAUCACCGCCGUGGAUCUUCUCAGAUAUCUUGUCCAUCAACGAUUCCCUCUCCACAACCUCAACAGCUGGCUCAGGAGCGAUCACAGAUUCAUCGUGCUUGUGUUCUUCCGCCAUCGCAAGAUCUUAAGCUCUUUUUUUUUUUUUUUUUUCGAGUUUUCGAUUUGAACAAAACAAAGAACACAGUAUUUGAGCUGCUUCCCAAAGUUUUCACCUUUUGAGAGAAGAAAAGAAAAAGAUCUCGAAGCCUAAAAUAGAAGAAAGAAUUCGAAACGCAAAUCUCAUCCGUCGAAACACUUAAAACUAAUCUGAACCGCUAGUUGGUUCGGAUCCGAAGCUAUACGUUCGUUACUUAAUUAGAGCCCAAGCCUUAGGGGAAAAGGAAAAAAGCCAAAUAAGAAACACAAAAAUACAUUUAGCCAAAAAGGAGUGGUCGACAUGUGACGCCGUCAGAGUUAACGUCUCCCGUCAUGAGGGGACGUUACGUGGCGUCGUUUAGAGCUAAGUUAAUUGAGGUAUGAUCAGGUGUCACGCGGCUGAAGCGAGAUGCUGUACGAUCGAACAUAUUUUUAUUACAGGACACGUGGUGUAACAUUCAGCCAUUCGUACAGACGUCACGUUCUUUCGGUCUGCGUCAAAAAAGGGCACAAUCAAACAAAUUUUUUUAAAUUAUACUUACAUAUUAUUAAAAAACAGUAUAUUUUUUGGUCAGCAAUAUUAACAACAGUAUUUAACGCCAAGAAUUAAAAUGAUAGUCGGCAAAAUAAAAAUAGUGAUAAUAGGACAAGAGAGUUGAUAAUAACAGUAUUAUGAUAUUAUCACUUGUAAAAAAAAAAAUGUGAAAAAGUUGUAUAAAAUGUGAAGUGACCAAGAGUGGAGCCCAAUAAAGCAUAAAUGAUGGACUUUGAUCUACUCAAGCCCAAUACCAGUUCUUUCAUGGGCCCAUUACAAAAAGAUGAUCGAUCACAAUAAGUCAUGUUCCAUUCCAUAAUUGCUUGCAUACACAAACAAAAAUAUGCUCAAAUCGAUUUACUUCUUUUUUUUUUUUCCUCCAGAAACCAGAAAAUUUAUUUACCUUGCACAUGGAAGACAAAAGUGGAGAAGUAGAAGCUCCAUUGUCUUUAUAAGCUGUGUCAUCAAACACAUCUUCUGUUUCUCUUUUGUAAACGAAAAACAAAACACAAUAUAAAUGCUAAACCUGAGUAGAUGAUAAAGCGAGUGAUAGGAUUAUAAGCAUGAUCAAAAUAAUACCUUGAGAAACAAAGAUUUAGGUACUGCGACGUGAGAGAAAUGUAUUUUUUUUUCUGUUUCUUGUUUCUUUGGUCGAGAGAAGCAAAGAUGAAGCUUAUUUAAAUUGGUGGAGACCAUAUGUUUUGUCUAGACCACUUUACCCUUUACUGUAAUACAUAUACAUGCUACACAUUGAGGGUGAAUUGGUUAUUUACAAAUAAUAGGUGAUGGAAUAUCCCGGUGGAUCAUAGUAUCAAGUUCCAGUUAUAAUUGAGUUGAGUUAAGUUGAAGCCCAUUACAACUAAGCCCAUUUAAGAUUUUGACACGACGCCGUUUACAGUGGAGAAAUCUCACAUUUCUGUAACACACAGCUCCUAAACCCAUUGUUGCUCUCUCACUAGUAAAGUAAACAAAAUGUUGCUCCGUCGUGUAACAACACUACCCAAAACCCUACAAAACCUCCGGUUAUUCUCUCCGGCGGCGACAGCUGCUUUAGCUCUCGAUCAUUCCCUAGAUACCCAAUUAACAUACCUCCCUGGAUUCCCUCGACCCGAUCCGAAGUACGCUGAGACGAUCCUCGCCGUUCCAAGGUCUGUCUCGGGCAAGAGCAUAUCGGCGAAAGAGCGUAAAGCCGGUAGAGUUCCUUCGAUCAUAUUCGAACAAGAGGAUGGACAACACGGAGGAAACAAGAGGCUUGUAUCAGUUCAGACGAAUCAGAUCAGGAAGCUUGUGACUCAUUUGGGUUACUCUUUUUUCCUCUCUAGGCUCUUUGAUGUUGAGGUUCGAGCUGAGAUUGGUUCCGAUGAGGUCAUUGAGAAAGUCCGAGCUUUGCCCAGAGCGGUAAAGUUUCUUCUUUUUUUGCACUCUUGAAAUUUUUGGUAUUACACAUCGCAUUUUAUCAUUAGUUUCUGAAUCUUCACUUGUUGAUUUUUAAAAAUGUGUGUUUGUUUUAUUGGUUUAUGCAUCGAGUUCUUAGAAAGUCUGUGCUUUGAAAUGUUUCAGAUUCAUUUGCAUUCUGGAACUGAUGCUCCACUGAAUGUGACAUUCAUUAGAGCGCCUCCAGGUGCUUUACUGAAGGUUGAUAUCCCUCUUGUGUUCAUAGGUGAUGAUGUUUCCCCUGGAUUAAAAAAAGGUAAUCAACCCUUUACUGAAUUUCAAAAUCUACUUAUAUGUUUUGAUUUUCCUAGAGAGAUGGAUUCCUAAUCUUGGAUCCUUAUAAGCAUUUGAGCUCCUUGGACUGACUGGUGAGUUAGUUGAGGUGCUUACGUAGGAAUCACUGUUCUUACUAAGAGUUUCUCGAUAGCAUUUCCUUUCUCGAAAUAUAGGACUUGGAGGCCAAUCAUGAAACAAAUGAGAGAUACGAUGAAAGAUGUGAAUGAGAGAUUUGCUAGACACUCAUUUCUUGAGUUCUGAAGUAGUUAGGCCACACAUUAAAGUAUGUCAAUACGUCUUGAUUGGAGUCCAUUGAGCUUCUAAUCUGAAGAGAAGUGAUAGUGCCCUGGUUUCAGUUACCUUUUCUUGGAUAGUCUGAGCUAAGCUUUGGCGAUGGAAAGUAAUCAUUACUUCAAAGGACAAUACUUUAGAUGUUUUAUUAAGCUUUAACUCGAGCAUAAAGAAAUCUAUGUGCUGGUUUUAGGGAUCCGUUUCUGGUUUGCAUACUAUAUCUUGGUAUAAAAUGACCCCAGCUUUUGGUAGUGGUUUGUAUGUCAGUCUGGCUAACCUAAGUUUUUGUAAAUCGCAGCAUCUAGUUUCUCGUUAGAUUUUAGUAGUGAUCACUAUUUCUUAAACAUUUUGCAGGAGCAUCUCUGAAUACGAUAAAAAGAACGGUAAAGUUCCUAUGCCCAGCAGAGAUUAUCCCUCCAUACAUAGAAGUAGAUCUUAGUCAAUUGGAUAUCGGGCAAAAGCUAGUAAUGGGAGACCUCAAGGUUCAUCCGGCGUUAAAGCUUAUAAAGCCCAAAGACGAACCCAUUGUUAAGAUUGCUGGAGGACGUGUUUCUGACCAGCAAAAGAAAUAAACCAGUGAGACAUAUUAACUGCGAUUAUCCGGUGCAACCCAAAUGGUAUUCAUACUUGUUUCUCUCAAACGUUGAUGAAAAAAUGAAUGGAACGAUCAUUUUAGGACUCAAGUUCCUAUCAAAUGAAGUUUAUUUUUGGUGUUAUUAGUGUAGCCGGAGAGCUAUAGUUUACGGCAGAAUGUUCUUAUCUUUUGAUUCUACAAUGCAUUUCUUUCUUUUGACAUUUGGACUACUUUAUUUACAGACAUCUAUAAAUAAACGUAGAAAGCAAAACAAAAAGUAAUCUUUUUUAAGAUAUAGACAUGUUUUUAGUCAUUUCAUGUGUUCUUUUGACACACUGUAGUGUAAGCAUUGAGGAACUGUUCAUCAUCAUCAUCAUGGAACAAUCCAUUAUAAGAUGAGCAGAUUUCUUGAAAAUCUUCAUUAUCUUCACUAUACCUCUAAUUUCAACACUGCUUUUCAAUUCCACUCCUCUUCCUUUUAAAUCCUCCAUGAAACCUGGAACAGAUGCUAGUAGCUUUGUUGUAACAAUCUCAGCCGUCAGGCUCAUCUUAACCGUCUGUUUCGCUGGAAUGUUUGCUGGAAUAGUUCCACUUCUUCGAAUAUUUUCCCCAGUUAUCGCUGACUCACCAUGUUUAAACGAAAGCAUAACAUCUCUCACUUUAAACGAUGCUGGAUUGGGGUUAUGUAAUGAGAUUUGGACUGACACUGUAACGUUCCGGUUCGUGUUGACUUUACCGUUGACGAAUUCCAACCCUUGGAUGAAAGAUAUGGAAUCAACCGUGAGUUUUGGGUUGUGGAGAUGAAAAACCGUGAGGGAGAGGACGAUGAAGGUGACUGCUAUGAGCAUAGUUAUAGAUGCGAUGAAACCACAGCAUAAGAUGAGCUUUGUAUGCGAGUGGACAUAUUUGGUUCGGUCGCGGUGGUACUGAUCAUCUUCGUUUGGUUGGUCACUCCGGGUAGUGAGAAAAAGUGGGGCUGAAGGCUUACCUUGAUCUUCUUUAGACUCAGCCAUGGCCAACUCAAAUUUCUUGUAUGUGUGUUAUAAAACUAACUUUGGAGGUUUAAAAGUUACAAUAUAGUGAGCUAGAUGUGUGUGUAUAUAUUAGUAGUAUAAUUUUCUGUAACGCGUUUUCCUGGAAAAUAAAUACGGUUGACUAUUGACUUUGGAAAAAGGAAAUGUAAAGUGGGAUAAGCUGAUAUUUCAUUAGUGUCGUGAAUCUUCUAAUCUUCUUCUUUUUUUGGGGUUGAAAAGUAAACAUUUUAAAAUUGUGAAUCUCUUAAAUAAGAAGUUCUAAUCUUUGAUGUGAUUGGUGUUUAUUUAGCAAAGAACCAUAUGUAUUUUAAUUUUUGGCACGACACAAGCUUGUUUAAAACCCGAAGGUCAUGUAACAAAUCCGGUGCUUGGAGGUUAACGUAGACAAAAAUUAAUAUCUCUAGACUCCAAUGAUCAUAUACUAUUUUGAGUUGAUUAUAACUCGUGAAGCUUCUUCUUCGGUUUAAUGAUUCUGAUUUGUGGAUUAAUUUAUUUAGCAGAAUGAAAAAAGAAAAAAAAAACAUUAAAAAAAUAUGUAAAAAAUAGUUUUGUAGGCUAGUAAUUUGUCUACGAUGCAAGGGGGAAAGGAAAUAUAAAAAGGUGAAACGUUUCUUAAGUUUCAAAAUUCCAAAAAAAAAAAACAAGAGGACAAAAAUAAAUUCAAAAUUCAAAUGAUUAAUAAUGUUUUUGAAAAUUUUAAAGUCUAGAAUAUUUGAUUUAAUAAUUGCACUAGUUUUUUUUUUUUUUCCUUUUGGACAUAUGUUAAACUGAAUUUUCAUCUCUGGAUUAAACUUAAUUUUCAUCUCUGGAAAACUGGAAUUUUUUUUUGUCUUUAAUUUUCAGUUUGUAAGAUACGACAAAAUCAAUAGAGAUGUACUAGAAGUCUAGAACACAAACUAGAACUUUAUUAUUUGAAUUUUCGGAAAGUAGAAAUACAUGGAAAUAUUGAAAAGAAAACAUUACAUGCAUGGUUGGUGACGACAAGUACACCAAUUCAAUUUGAUACAAGUACGAUAGUGUUCAUGAUCUAUCUC